UGUGAAACGGCGUGACUCGAGGUCCAAGGAGUCGUUUCUUCGCAACUUUUGCCAGGAAAGUUUCUUCCCUUUGAGUUGAUCCUUAUGAUGCUCAUGAUGAUCAGAAACUUCCUGAUGAUCUUGGCUUCCCUCAUCUGUAGGGUUUUCCACUACUACCUCUUCAUCAGACAUUUCUAUUAAACCUAGGCAGCCACUUCUCACACACUCAAAUUAAUUUCUAGAGAGAGAGAGAGAGAGAGAGAGAGAGAGAGAGAGAACUGUAGGUAGGUCUUCCUCUUUGAGAGCAAAAGCAAGCUAGCUAGCUAGGUGUUUGGGACAGAGUUAGAGAUCUGGGGGUGCCAAGUGUGGGGAGGUGUUCUUCUAUAUGUGAGGAUGGAUUGUGAUAUUUAAAGGCAAAUUAAUUGAGGAAGAGGCCACAACUCAUUUACCAUAUGCUCAUAUACAUUGACCGUCUAUUUAUACGCAUGGUUUGCACACAUAUACGUACAAAGUUGAAUAAAAUGUAGGGAAACAUAUCUCAUGGCACUAGCAAAACAAAUCUCAUGGCAUUAAGACAAGAGCUUGACCUUGUUUGUGAGAAUAAUAUGAAGCUGACCUAAACGAGCUUCGUCCGAGGUUGAAGAUGUUGAUGGGCUCCCAAUUUGAAAUCUUUUUAAUUGCUACAUAUUUAUCCCUUUAACCCUUGAUCUGUCAAUUCUGACAGUAUCACACACACGCACACAUAUAUGUGUGCGUGUGCGCCCUUAUCUAUUUUAUAUAUUAUUCACGAAUCACAAAGUACUUGAAAUACGAGUGACACACCAUGUGUCACUAUACAGAUAAUGUGAUAUUUGUAUUAAAUUUUUCUUCACAUGUAUAAUGACCCAUAAAAUUUUUCCAGUCAUAAUAAAAAAAUUUCUCCACAUUUUCAUGACAUUUCCAUUUUUCUAAGGUGACGGCACUAUCAUUCAUACUCCCUAUUAUAUAAAAUUAGGUUACCUUUUUCUUUUGGACUUGGAAUAUUAAUGCACAUUACCCAAUUAUAAUAUUUUUGUUUUAAAUAAGUAUUUAAAUGCCCAAUAAUUCAACUUCUUCAUAGGUCAAGUUUUAUUACCAGCUGUGUAUCUACCAUAUUUUAUAUUUUAUAACUCAUGUUCCUUUUAAUAUAAUUUCCCUUUCUUGUAUUAUAUAUGAAACUAAAGAAAUUUACAAUGAUACAAGGAUAUUCUCAAUAAAAAUGGCAAUAAUGAAAUUUACAAGAAAGACAAUUUGGACAUGAUCUCUAUAAAAAUGGCAAUAAUGAAAUUUACAAUUGUUGAUGCACAAAACCGGAAGUCUUGGAACAACGUAAAUCCGACCGUGAAUCUGCAUGAAAUGUAAAUGACACAAGAGUUAUCGUGGUUCACCCCAAGGUUUGGGCUACGUCCACACUGAUUGUAUUAUAUUUCUCUGAGAAGUGAGGGAGAGAGAGCUUAGGGGAUGUGAGGAGCUUUGAGAGGGGGUGAGAGGCUUCAGAAAUGGCCUCUGAUGGUGAGAAUGAGCCUCCCCUAGAAUGAGGGUAGGAGUCCCCUUUUAUAGAAUAAGGGGCUCCUCCUCUUUUACAAAGUAUGGGCUUUAGUGUGAGGCCCAAAUACAAGGCCCAAGGCCCAAAUAUACGAGGCCCUAAAUAUGGUAUAAACAACAAUGAUACAAGGAUAUUCUGAAAAGCUAUAUGUAAUACGUAUAAGGCAGAUUUGAGGCAAUAAGGUCCAUAACUACAGUCAAAGACUCAAAAGUCAAUCCCCCGUGCGCUUAUGUUAGAGGUGACACAAAAUGAUAAUCCUUUAUUUUAUGUGUAACAGGUUGUUUCUAUAUACAUGACGAUGUGAUAUUAUUAUAUUGUACAAACGUUAUACUUAGGAUUGUUUAUUCUUUCUAUAGAUAAGUUCAUUUAAUUUGAAGAUUGUUUAGUUAUCCUUAACACAUGUCAAACAAAUCCAUUGUUAUGGUAACAAGUAAUAUCAUUACGAUUAACUGGUUGACGUGUGUGACGAUUUGCUAUUUUUCAUCUUAUUCUUUAUUCUUUAUUUAUAAUUUUUAUUUAGUUUAGUUUGGAUUUUUUUUAAAUUAAAUUAUUUUAUGUUAGAAUCUUAAUUAGAAAGAAGUAUUUUGGGGAUAUUGAAAACUUCACCAUUUGGGUGUAUAUAUGUAUGUAUGUAUGUAUGUAUGUAUGUAUAGCUAAUUAAGCUUAAUUUUCAGCAAAUAAGAAACUGUAUUAAUACUGAUCUAUCACAGUUAAUCUGUUGCUUUGCUUAGUUAUAAUCGGAUAACUUAGAGCAAAAGUCACAGAGAGUUUUGUUGUGGAAGAUGUCCACGUGAUCGUCGUGUGACAUGAGUAGGAUUUAGGCUUUAAGCUUUUCGGAAGUAUCAGAGGAAGGCAUCAACUGUUUGACUUAGGGCAUGCAUGGUAUGGCGCAACCAAAGCUUUUGGUCCUUGGCAUUGUCAAGAUUCCACUGCAUGCUGGUAGCUGCUUUAGAGGGGGCGUUGAAGGGAUGCGAAAGGUGCAGUUGCACAUGCCCCAAUUUUGAAGGGAUCCUCAAAAUUUUUGUCACUAGUAUUUAUAUGUAAUAAUAUUCUAUAUUUAAAAUUGCUUUUGUUAUGGGAUAAUGUUCUAUAUUCAAAAAUUGAUUUUAUUAGGACAUUAAAAUCUCAUCUUGGACUCCUUUUAAGCGUAAUUUUUUUUAUUUUCUAAAUAUAAAAAUUUAGAGCACAAUAAGAUAUUUUGAGUGCUAAUAAUACACCAUAAAAGACGGUAUUUUUUUUUCAAUAUUAUUAUAUAAUAAUGUCACAUAUUCAAGUGAAACUUUAAAGUUAGAGUUUUUGAAGUUUGUUUUCUUGUUUGGUUGUUUAAGAGUGAAGUGCUUUUGAUUAUUUAGUGAACGUUAUGUUUGUAGCUCUUUUACUUAUUAUUAAUAACAUUUUUAAACUUGCAAUUAGUGAGUGCUAAACUUUGUUUUGAUUUAAGUAAUUGUUUUCUAGCGUCAAUACAUUGUCAUACAUUUUUUAAGACUAUCUUAAGGAGGGGCGCUUUUAUAAAUUUCGCACAGGGCCCCUAAAAUCUUAGAGACGGCCCUGCAGCUUAGGGGCCAAUCAGCAGGCGUUACGUACCAAAUUUGGUUAUUUUUUAUGGAGUAAUGUUAAGGAGAUUAAAUUUGUAGACAAAUUUUUGAAAACUAAAAGACAUGGAAGUUGAUGAUUGAUUUAUUACUCACACAUUGAUAAACGUGCUUAUUCUUAUUGGUGACACAUCAUUUAGUUUGCAAAUUUAGUCUUCAAAUUUGGUCUCCCCUAGCAUUAUUCUUUUUUAUGUUGUGUGGCAAUUGCCACUGCUAAGUAACCCCCUAUGGCUUCUAUGCCAACUUCCAAAUUUAGAUUGAUGUUGAUUGUAUUACAAUAUUCACCAAGAAUUUGAGAGAGAGAGAGUUCAUAGGAUCUUCCAAGAUAUAGGUGGAGUUAACGGUGUCAUUAGAGAAAUUAUUGCAGUUAACUUUCCAAAAUAUAGGUGGAGUCAAUUAUUUUAUUGAUAGGGAAGAGGUCGGAGACUCGGAUAUUCAAAGUUAGGAUAUCUUUUAAUACUAAAAAGAGAAAUAUAUUACUGAAUUAUUAAGAGUUAGAUAGAAUAAUUUAAUUAGCUAUAAACUGGUGUCUGUCAUCGAACAUAUUAUAUUUUAUUGCGGCCUCACGGUAAUAACCAUAUUUUUGUAGAAUCCCAGACGCCAUGUGCGUGUUGUCUACUCCAUCAUCGCAAUUAUAAGUAAUUAUGUAGUUUUACUGAAAAUAAUGCAGAAUUAACCAGAAGCAAACAGAAAUAAACUACUAACCAUGCUCCCUUCUGAUCACUCUGUCCAUUUGAUUCUGCUAAUUACCUUAUUUUAUUAUUUGUUUGUCUCUUACUUUCGAGGUUCUACAAGGCUAUUUCGAAUUUGGACUUUCUCAGAAAAUUAACCUCCAAUAAUAAUUCUUCUAAUUAAUUAUUUUACUUUGCACCUGUCCAUUAAUUUAUGUUAGGUAUUAGUUUCUAGUUCUUACAAGGCUGUUUCGAAUUUGGAUUUUCUCAGAAACCUUUUAGCCGAAUUGGGUUUGUUUGCCGUUUCACAUGUACCAAAUUCAAGAUAUGGAUAGACUGAGUUUCAAGUACUAAUCAGUUCAUAACUUAAGACAACAUUAAUCAUUUAUUUAGGUUUACCUUACAAUAUUUUACAUAAUCUGAAUGGAUCACUUUUUGGAUUAUGAUUUAAAGCUUAAUCAUACAAAAAAUUAUAAAGUUGGAAGCCAGUUAAUUAUUUAAGUGUCUUAAAUAGAAUAACACACAUUUGUCAAUAAAUAAAUUCAGUAUUACAAUAAUAAUUAAAGAGCUAAACGACUUUCGAUUUGAUUGAAUUUUUACAACGAUUUAUGAUUGAUGACCUAAAAAGUGAACUCUUAUUUUUUUUUUGUCAAAUGAUAGAUUUUGUUAGAUUAGCCACCGACAGAGUUCGAACCCAUGCCGUCAUGCAAGAGCUCAACACCUUUCCACCACUAUAAUAAAGAGCCACUUGCUUAGGUAUUGCCAGCAACGAGAUUCGAACCUAUGCCUUGGCCUAGCGAAUAAAAAGUGAACACUUUAGAUCAUGAGAUUAUUUUGUUGACCAACACCACUGACCCGCACCUCCCCUUCCCCAUUUACCUACUAUUUUGUUAUACCUUUCAUCUUUUUAUGUAGUGUCAUUCUCAAACUUAUUUCUAUGCUCUCGUCUUGAAAUAGAACGUGGGUUUGAAUUGGCUUUGUGGUUGUGGUGGGUCAAAAUCGCCUUCUACUAGUUAGUGUCCACGACGAUUUAUUGCGACGAAUUUAUACCGAAUAUAGUUUUUGUGUUUCUUUGUUCAUUGUGGUUGCUAUAUAGAGAUCAAGUUUGCUUGUUGUGUGCUUAUUCUCUCCAAAUUAAGGAUUUGGUCACUGAGAAGAUGUACUCAAUUGACAUCGAUUUUGUAUUUUUUGUUGUAAUCGUCUUUUUAUCAAUGAAUUACCACUACCAUUCUUUAAAAAAAAAAAAAAAAACUGAUUAGCGCUAAAACGCUCCUAUAUUUGUAUUACAUGUAUAUGGAUAUAUAUUUUGUAAGAUUCAUGAUUUAAUAUUUUUAAUUUUUCCGUCGAAUUAGAUAACAAUGACUGCUAUAGUUUUCUAACACCGUAUGCUCUUAGAGCAACUCCAGUGUAGGAGCCCUUCCCCCAGACUAUUCACUAUUUAAUCCACACAGUGAACAGUAAUUGCCCUUAAUGAACAGUAAUUGCAGUGGUAAUUGCCUUUUGCAUUUCCACCCUUGCACUAAAUAGCCCUGGCAAUUGGCAAUAAAAAUUAUUUUAUUUAUAAAAUAAUACAUAAUAAUUUAAUUUUAAUUUUGGAUAAGAUUUUUAAUCGUUCUCGUUGUGCCACGUGUUAUUAUCCGAAAAGCCAAUAGCAAUAAAAUAUUUGUAUUUUUUUAUUUAUAAAAUAAGUCAAAAUAAUUUUAUUUGUAAUUUCAGAUAAGAUUUUUAAUCGUUCUCGUUGCGCCACGUGUCAUUAUCCGCAAAGACAAUUAUUGGUGAUGGAUUUCCGAUAAGAUUUUUAACCAAUCAUGUCGUGCCACGUGUCAUAAUCUCAUUACAAUCUUUGAGGCUAGAUUUCCACCAGAUUUUUAACGAAUGACAGCAUGCCGCGUGGCAUUAUCUACAGCCUAAUCCUUUCUGAAUUCUCCAUAUAAUCUACCAUCCAUCCUUAGAAAUCUCACACCAAUUUUCUCAAGAUCUCUAUCAUUAUUCAUAGUUUCUGCUUCAUUCUUCACCAAAAUCCCUAUCAUUAUUCAUUCUGCUUCAUUCUUCACCAAAAUCUCUAUCAUUAUUCAUAGUUUCUGCCUCAUUCUUACAAUGUUUUCUUCUUCUUCUUCAAAGAUGAUGUGGGAAAUCGAUCAAGAAGAGGAAGAAUUGUUUAACCAAUCAGAAGGAAUGUUCAAUGCUGGUGAUUGGGCCCAAAAUGAGAUGAAGGAGGAUGACAAACGUAGAUGGAGAGAUGACGAAUCAAGAAUGGCAAGAGCCUCACACUCCCGUCGAGUCAUCCAACCUGUGGCUCAAAUCUGCAGACCCAACCGUGCUGUAAACAUUGAUAGAAACAGGCAACGACGAGGUGAGGAGCUCUUGGACGAUUAUUUUGUCUGUAACAGUGCAUUCCCUAAUACGUACUUCUGACGUCGUUUUAGAAUGGAACGACAUUUGUUCAACAAAAUCAUGGGCGCUGUUUGCAACCAUGAUUCUUACUUUAUGCAAAAACUAGAUGCUUUUGGUGCUAUGGGUCUCAUGCCUGAGCAAAAAAUUAUUGCUGCCUUGAGGAUGCUGGCAUAUAGAGCAGCUGCAGGCCAAGUGGACGAGAUAACGAGGAUGGGAAAAUCAACCAUUCUUGAGUCCCUGAUGAGGUUUUGCUUGGCAAUCGAAUCUAUCUACACCGCAGAGUACUUCCGAAGACCUACUCAUAUGGACUUGGAAAGGCUUCUGAAGAAGGGCGAGAUGCGAGGUUUUCCAGGGAUGAUUGGAAGCAUUGAUUGUAUGCACUGGACUUGGAAAAAUUGUCCAAGUGCAUGGAAAGGCGCUUAUGGGGACAGAAAAUGAUCAAAAAGUAUCAUUUUGGAGGCGGUGGCCUCUUUUGAUACAUGGAUUUGGCAUGCAUUUUUCGGGGUUCUGGGAGCUCAAAAUGAUCUCAAUGUCCUUACCCAUACCUCGGUGUUCAACGAAGUCUUGCAAGGAAAGGCAACAAAAGUCACAUACUGGGUCAACAGACGUAAGUACGACGGGCCCUACUACUUAGCAGACGGCAUUUACCCAAGGUGGGAAUCAUUUGUCAAAACAGUGCCACGUCCACGAAAUGCAAAGAAAAAAUACUUUGCAAGCUGUUAAGAAAGAUGCAGGAAAGAUGUGGAGCGUUGUUUUGGUAUACUCCAAGCUCGCUGGGCUAUUGUUAAGGGUGCUGCCAGAAUGUUUGAUGUAGAGUCGCUUCGAUCCAUCAUGAUGACGUGCAUCAUUCUUCACAACAUGAUUGUGGAAGAUGAGUACGAUUAUGAUGCCAUUGAUGAAUAUGAGCCAGACACUAUGAACAAUUCCAGAACACAAAUAUAUUGUGCUCAUGAUGCCACCGAAGAACCUGUGCAACACGAGCUAUUACAAAGGGAUAGACGUUACAAUGAUAGGGUCAUUCAACGAUAUAAUGCACUUCAAAGGCCAUAUAUGCACAAUGCCCGCCAAAUUGAUUUGAUAGAGCACUAGUGGGAAUUGAGGGGUGCUGAAGAUACUUAAGUUCAUUAGUGUUUUUUUUUAUUUGGUGUGUUAUUUUAUUUUAUGUGGUGUGUUUUUUUAGUUCAUUUAGUGAGUUGAAAUGUAAUUUUGGUAUGUUGAUGUAAUUUUAUUUGGUGUGUUUUUUUGGUGUGUUGAUGUUAUUUUAUUUUGUGUGUUUAAAUGUGUUUUGAAUAAAGUACUAAAUUAAAUAAAUUGGAAACAACAUAAAGUACUAAAUUCAAUAAAUAACCAAAUUAAAUAAAUAUACUCUUAGUUUAAAUAAAGUACUAAAUUCAAUAAAUUGGAAACAACGUAAAGUACUCUAUUCAAUGAAUAAGAAAUUACAACCCGAAUAAGAAAUUACAACUCGAGUUGAUUGGAAAAUUAUGGGUUCGUGAAUGGAUAAUCAUCACCUAACCAAUUUGUCGUGCUAGGAUGAUCUUCUGUUGUCGUGCUAGGAUGAUCUUCUGUUGUCAUGCUAGGACCAUCUCCUCUUACUGUCGCUUCUCUUGCAUGCCUCCUUCGCAUCACGUCAGCUUUCUCCGACUUCCAAAAAUAUUUAGAGUUUGGAGACUUCCCUUCUAAAGGCUCCUUCAUAAUGUUACGACCUUGUUCAGCCAUUCUUUCUUCCCUUCUAUGUUCCCUUUUUUGCCGAAGUAGUUCUCUUUCUCUCUCAUCAGCUUCAAUUUUUUUCUCAAAAGUUGCAGCUUUUGCAUCCGUUCUAGCCUUAUCAGCCUCAAAUUUAGUCAUUUCCCGGGCCAAAGUCAAUUGACUUUGGUGGGCAAGGUCUUCCAUAUACUUUGCAUAAUCAUUCUUGGAAGCAUUACCUUUUCUCUUUGAAGCCUUCUUACCUUGAGGCCUAAUUGGAAAACGGGUUGACCCCGACGCUUGUUCAAUGGGGGGUGUUUCAGGCACUUCUUUUGCAUCAUCUUCAUCAUGAUCAUGUGAGGCAUGAUCGGGUGUAGAGUGUAGAUGGGUGUUGUUCAUGAAAACUUAUGGACCGACAGGCACAACUCUGAAUUUAGGACAAUCUUUGACAAUAUUCCAACAUUCAAACCGGGGGAAUGUUUUGUUUUUGCUUUUGGUUUUGGCACCAUACCAAGCUUGUGCUUGAAGUUCCUACACAAUGCGGGAGAAUAAAUAAUUAUAACGAGAAUAGGUAACAAAUAAAUAAAACAAACAAAUAAUUAUAAUGAAAGUAGGUAACAAAUAAAUAAUACAAACAAAUAAUUAUAAUGAAAGUAGGUAACAAAUAAAUAAUACAAACAAAUAAUUAUAAUGAAAGUAGGUAACAAAUAAAUAAUACAAAAAAAUAUUUAUAAUGAAAGUAGCUAACAAAUAAAUAAUACAAACAAAUAAUUAUAAUGAAAGUAGCUAACAAUUAAACAAUACAAACAAAUAAAUAAUAUAUUGUUACCUGAUCCGCUAAAUUUUCCCCACUUCGAACAUUACCACUAGCUUGUGCCAAGGCGUCUUUCCACGUACUAAACGCUUGGCUAAGUAAUUUCCAACGACUGGACAUCGAUUCUUUAGUUCUUUGCCCACCCAUUUUCUCAAGAUAAUUGGUAUGAAUAAGACUCCACAUUUCUCGCAACUGCAUCUCAUUACCCGUAAGCGAAUCAUGAGUAACUUGAACCCAGCUAGUACACAACGCAACAUUUUCAAGAAGCGUUCAAUUCGUACUUGCUUGAGUAGUCAUUUUGUUGGAAAAAAUUGGAUUCAAACUUUGAGAGAAAGAUAGGAAUGUGGUUGAAAGUAGUUGAGAAAAUAUGAAAUUGUGGUGUAAGGUAGAAGAUAAUGAGAAGGUAUUUAUAGAAAAGUAAAAUCAAUUUUUUUAAUAAUUUUUCAUAAUUUUUUUUUGGAUUUUAAAGAAUUUUUUACAUUUAAAAAAAAAUUAUUCACCUAAUUAAUCUCUGCCGUUGGUUUUUAAAAAAAUUUGAAUUCCAACAGUCCAGAUUGUGCCACAUGGCACAACGGUAGCAUUUCAGAAUUUUUAACUGUUUUUUUUUAAAUUUACAAAGCCUAAUAACGUGGACCUUUGAUCUUAGAUCAAACGGAUGAAAUUAAAUGAUAUUUUAAAUGUUUUUUACCGUUGAAAAUCCAACGGUCCAUAAAAUAAGGCCGUUUCAAUCGAACAGACAUGGGGAAGCCACGUGGCUUCCCCCAACGGUAACAUUUCAAAUCAGGCGCCGCGGGCCCCAGCCCUGUUUUUUUGUCGGAAGACGCGUGCCCACGCGCGCGUGAAACGCACGCGCCUGACGCAGCCCUCGGGCUCUCAGGCUGGCAAUCAACGCCGGGCCUACUCCUCGGGCCUCGCCUGUCACUCGGGCUACCCAACGCUAGACCCUAUCCCCCCAGCAAUUUGGUCCUAUUUAAAUGCCUGGCCCCUGAGCAACCUCCCCCGCUGGAGUUGCUCUUAUUGAAUAUUAGUUUUCAAAAACAGAUGCUUAUGUCAUGCAAGAAUAUUCCAACUCAAAGUCUCAAAGACAAAUAUUUACGCGUGUAUAUGAUCUAGAUCCAAUUGACAUGCUAAUUAAUUAACUAAACCUUUUACUCAAAUUAUGCUACAAAUUAUUGUGGACACACCUUGAUUAGUAAUUACUUAGUGAAUGCAUGAUUAUAGAAAAAUAAUGUAUUAGUUUGGACUAAGCGGCUAGACUUUCGCAUAUAAACGGCGAGUUGUAAGAUAUGACUAAUCACACAUGCUGCUGACAUAUUCCAAUCAACUACACGUCACAUCCGUUGCUAUUGUAUGAGAAAUUUUUGAAUGUGACGGUCACAUAGCAUUUGCAGCUUCAAGGCAUGCAUGCAACUCAAGGCUCACACGAAUGUGUAUCAUAUUUUGUACUCAGUUGUAUUCUAUGAGAUUGUAUUGUAUUUGUUGAGGUCCUAUAUAAUGUAUAUUAGCAUGGAUUGAGAUCCAUUGCAAAUACCUGUGUCCACUGCAAAUACCUGUGUCCGAAGUUUGCAGAUCAGAAAUCUGGACAACUCAAUUUCAAUGCUAAACUCCUUAUUCGUUCAUCCUACUGGCCCACUUUAUGAAAAUCCAAAACUUAAACGGCCUGAAUCUCUUUAUCACACUCUCAAACAGUCCAGAUCUCUUAAUCCGCACUCCGGACACAGAGAUUCGGAAUGAAUCCUCAUUCACAUUAGCAUCUUCAGAUUCUAGCUACGACUAAUAGCAGUGUUGUCCGUUAUUAAUUUGCUCGACCAAACUAGUUGUUGUCAACUUUGUGUUUCAAAAGCACAAAAUGCAUGUCUAUUCGAGAAUAUUCCAACUCCACGACAACUUUCUACAUGUUUUCUGGUUCCCAUUGGAAACUAGUCACUCAAAAGCUACAAAAAAUAUUGUGGCUAUGGAUCAUGUUGCCACCUUACGAAUCAGGUUAGGUAUAUGCAUGAUUUGGGAAAGAAAAAAAAUUACAUUUUGGAUUAUUCAAUUGGAGCAUUUCUCGUAUAAACGGCUGAAAGAUUUUGUAAACAUGAUGCUGAGAACAAGAGUUACCUGUUUUAGGAAGGGGUAUUCGGUAGGGCCACUGUACUAUGGCAACAUAUACAAAGUAUAGGGACUAACGAGCAAGUAGAUGGGAUCAUGGAACAAAACAUAGGAGUUGCAUGAUACAAGAACACUCAGGCGACAAUAUCAUAAACCAAUUAAAUAACGCCACAUGAGAAAUUGAAAACAAAUGGCGUUGUGUUAUUAGUCUAGAAUGUCAGUAUAGGUUUUUGUUUAUAUAUCUCUACUAAUUAUUAAUAAAACACUCAUUGUCAACCAAAAUCCUAUGAAAUUACCAGUUUAACCCUCUAAUUAAAACAGAACAUAAAUAAGAAAUAUGGGGCAUAAAUGUAAUUUCACACAACCAAAUUUUGUUGUUUUUUUUUUCAAAGUCUCACCUACAUGUAAUCCUAACAUUUCUCUAAUUAAAAAAAAUUAAAAAAUUAAAAAAUUAAAAAACUUCUCACUCCCACAUUCUCUAUCACUCUCUUCCUUUCUCAUUCUAUUUCAAAAAAAAUAAUAAAAAAAAAAUUCUCAUACACUUUGUGUGUGCUCAUAUACUAGUAUUUUUUAAGUUUAUUAUUAUUAAGACGAAGUGGAGGUUUCGAAACUGUUAAAAUAAUUUAAGAAAUGAGAGAGUUUCGAAUUCAGAAUAUAUGAGUAAAAACUCAACACCCUAUUUACUAAGAUAUUAGAUUGCAUGCAAAAAUGCCGUGUAGGUAAAUCCGCCUAGGGAAGAGGUGUUUUUAUGUGCAAUCGGAUGCAUCAUAUGGUCCAAAUACCUUUCUCCUAGUUUAGUGCUAUCUUGUAUAUGUAUGUGUAAGUUGUAGCUAUCGGUUAUACCCCUUAUGAUUUAGCUACAAUGGGCGAUGGGGUCAUUCGAAAGUGACUCUUAGAAGCAGCUCAUGAGAGAUGCUUUUCCUUAAAAUCACUAGCCAUCGUGAUUUAUAGAGAAGCACAUAUCCUUCUCCCAGAAGUGAUUAAGGCCCUCUCAGAAUUACUUUCCGAACGAGACCUUAGACUCCGAAGUGUGGAACUUGCCUGUUGACAAAUUCAAAGGCUUUUUCUUUGUAAAACAUCCUUCAUUCUUUGCACAUUAACAUCCCUACGAACGAGUAAAAAGAGAAUUAAAACUCUGUUCAAAGUGUAUUCCGGGAGAAUGAGACCUUUUUCAUUAGCAGCACAUAACCAUGAGUACAUGACCAAGAAUUCCUCAAGUCGCAGAAUAUGCACCACACAAGUGGAAUUUUAGGUGCAUAUAUUAGAGGAAGAACGGAUACAUACAAAAUGGGUCAUUCUUCACAAACUUUCCUUUUCCUGUUUUGCAGGGCUUGCUGAUGCUGCAUAUGGAUGGCGAAUACAACAUGCCAUUCUCUUCCAAAGGCGAUCGUGGUUGCCCUAGGCUUGUCCAUUUUGUUAGAAUAAGAAGAAAAUGUAGUACACAAUGGAGGAUAUGCUGCAAUGACUAGAGUGAGAGAGAGAGAGAAAGAAUGAGAGCAGAGAAUAUAUGACACUGCAAUUCUUUUCACACGCACUGUUUGAUUGCUCACAAAGUGAGAGAGGAACAUCUCUCUACACUUAACAGUUACACUUCCAAACUUUUGGCAGUAUUCAAAAUUACAUCCAAGUAAUCCUAGCCAUCCAUCUUACACCCUAUGAGAUGAAGACACAUGUACACUCACUUACUUAAGAACUAUGAGACUUAGAUAAGAAAACAUACAACCAAUUUAGCUAAUCAUCCUAGCAAUAUAAGCUAGAAAUACAACUACCACAUCAGAUCACAAUUUACACACUAACAGCCCCCUUUAAAUUGUGAACUGAUUUAACUCCAAGAAGUUCCCUCAGAUAACUGAAUUGUUCUCUUGCCAAUGCCUUUGUAAAGAUAUCAGCAAUUUGCUCUUUCGUAGGACAAUGCAACAGCUCAAUUACUCAUUGCUGCAAUGCUUCCUUUAUGAAAUGGUAUCUCCUGUUGAUGUGCUUGGUCUUCUGAUGAAAAAUAGGGUUUUUAGUGAUAGCUAUGGCUGAAGUAUUAUCACAAUUCAUUGGUGUUGCAACUGUUUGCAUUUCACCAAAGUCCUCCAAAACAAAUCUCAGCCAUGUAGCCUGUGCAGUUGCUUCAGAUGCACUAAUGUACUCUGCUUCAGCUGUUGAUAAUGCAACACAUUGUUGCUUGACCGAAGACCAAGAGAAAACUCCACUGCCAAAGGUAAAUGCAUACCCCGAUGUACUUUUCAUAUCAUUUUCUGAACCGCUCCAGUCACUGUCACAAAAUCCCAUUAAGAUUGCUCAUUUACCUUUCUUGUAUUCCAAGCCAAAAUCAAGAGUCCCUUGAACAUAUCUUAGUACUCUCUUUGCUGUCCCAAGGUGCUUGUUGGUUGGACAGUGCAUAAACCGUGAUAGCAGACAUGCAGCAUACAUUAUAUCAGGUCUAGUUACUGUGAGAUACAACAAACUGCCUACAAUUUGUCUAUAUUGAGCUUCAUCCGCAAUCCCACUUCCAUCCUAUUUUCUUAAUUUAUCACUUGGAACCAAUGGAGUACUCACUGACUUACAGUCUUGAAGUCCAAAUUUCUUCAGUAGAGAAGAAGCAUAUUUUCUCUGAUGAAUGAAAAUAUACUCCUCAGUUUGCAUUACUCCCAUACCAAGAAAGUGAUGUAAGAGUCCAAGAUCAGUCAUUUCAUAUUUGAGCAUCAUAUCAGAUUUAAAGUCAUCCAUCAAUUCCUGACAACUUCCAGUGUAUAUUAUGUCAUCAACAUAGAUAGACACUAUAAUCAUUUCUGAACUUUUCCUCCACUUGGUAUACAGAGUUGCUUCGCUAGUGCUUUUCUUAAACCCACAGAGUGUAAGAUAUGAGUCUAUUUCACCAUACCAGGCCCUUGGUGCCUGCUUCAGACCAUACAGUGCUUUAUGUAACCUGUAGACCUUAUCUUCUUCCCCUUGUACAAUAAAUCCAUCCGGCUGAUCAACAUACACUUCUUCUUCUAGUACACCAUUCAAGAAUGCCGAUUUUACAUCCAAUUGAAACAACUUCCAUUUGUUCUUUGCUGCCAGGGCAAUUAAUGUUCUGAUUGUAUCCAACCUUGCCACAGGUGCUAAGGUUUCAUUAUAAUCAAUUCCGGGCUUUUGUGCAUAGCCUUUUGCAACAAGCCUAGCCUUGUUCUUUUGAACUGAUCCAUCCAAAUUCAAUUUAGUUUUGUACACCCAUUUCACACCAAUUACAGGUUUAUCAGAUGAUCUUUUCACUAAUUCCCAAGUCUUAUUUUUCUCAAUCAUGUUGAUUUCAUCUUUCAUAGCUUUCUUCCAUGCUUCAUCCUGUGCAGCUUCAUAAUAGGAUUCUGGUUCAACAAUACACACAUGACAUCUUUCAUAGAUUUCACUCAAACUUCUAUAUCUCAAAGGAGUAUGAUCAAUCUGAGAUGCAGAAAUUGAGUCACUAGCACUUCCAGAUUCAAUGAGUGGAGAAUCUGUAAGUUGAGUCUGAGAACCUUCAGCAACAGCUUGUUCCAUGGAAUCCGAAUCCUUAUCAGCUUCUUUCAUCUCUGAAGAUUCACUUUCAGCAAUUGGAAUGUACACUUCUUUGAUCUUCUGUCUAUUCCAAUCCCAUGUACCAUUCUCAUAAAAAUAACAUCUCUUGAAAUGAUUACUUUCUGAUUUUCAGGAUUAAGCAAUCUGUACCCCUUUUCACAAGUGCCAUAUCCAAUAAAAAUACCAAUGACACUUGUUUCAUCCAGCUUCUGUCUCAGGUUUCUAGGAAUAAGGGAAUAACCUAAUGAGCCAAACACUCUCAAGUGUUGAAUUCCAGGUUUUCUUCCACUGAAUUUCUCAAAAGGUGUCACAUUUUCCAAUGCUUUUGUAGGACAUCUAUUUAGCAAGUAGACAGAUGUAACUACAGCUUCACCCCAAAGACUAUAAGGAAGACCUUUCUCAUGAAGCAUACACUUUGCCAUCUCCACUAUAGUUCUAUUUUUUCUCUCUGCAACUCCAUUCUAUUGUGGAGAGUGCAACAGUAAGCUGCCUCUCCAAACCCAAAGCUUCACAAAACUGUUCAAAUUCAUUUGAGGUAAAUUCUCCUCCUCUAUCUGUUCUCAAUUUCUUCACUGAAAAACCACUUUGAAGUUCCACUAUAGCUUUGAAUUUCUUGAAUACAUGAAAGACAUCUGACUUGUGUCUCAAGAGAUAUAUCCAGCACAUCCUCGAAUGGUCAUCAAUGAAUGUAACAAAGUAUCGAUUUCCACUCAUGGUUGGUGUUUGCAUAGGGCCACACACAUCUGAGUGUAUAAGUUCCAAUGGCAUUUUUGCUCUCCAGAUUGACUCCCUUAGAAAGGACACUCUAUAAUUCUUACCAAAUGCACAUCCCUGACAUACACCUUCACUGUCAUGCAUUUCAGGUAACCCAAUAACCAUAUCAUGCUCCUGCAAUUGUUGCAAACUUCUAAAAUUCAGGUGGCCAAACCGUUUAUGCCACAUUGUACUACUCUGAUGCACAUUGGUUUUCAGUACCAAAUGAUCGUUUGACUUGAACACAAGUGGAAAGCAUCUGUUUCCCUUUUGUUUCACACUAACCACUAAAUUUGUCAGAGUUCUAUCAUAAAAAAUAUCCACCUUAUAAUCACCAAAUAACAGAAAAUACCCAUGUUCAGUCAUCUGCCCAACACUGAGAAGGUUUUCUGCAAUUCCAGGUACCAACAUAACUUCUCUUAUGUACCUUUUUCCUUUAUCCGUGUCAAUGACCAAGGUUCCUUUGCCUUUCACAUCAACAAGAACCCCUGUGCCAACUUGCACUUUUGCCUUAAUACUUCUAUCAAUUUCCACAAGUAACUCAUCUCUGGAAGUCAUGUGAUUACUGCACACACUGUCAAUAUACCAGGCAUCACUCACAGCUUUCACUUCAGUUGAUUGCUUGACCAUGAAGAGAUUUCCAGGUUCUCCCACCUUGUUUGUAAAAUUCCUUUGCUCUCCCACUUUGUCUGCAAAAUUCCUUUGCUGAGCAUUUUUGUUUUGAUUGCAGAUCCUAGCAAUAUGACCAAGUUUUCCACACUUGUGACAUUUAAUCUUCCCUUUUAGCCAACAUUCACCAUAGUGAAGUUUAUCACAGUAUUUGCAUGCCCUUCCAGUGUUGUUAGCUUCAUUUCUUACACUUGGAGUAAACCUGUUAGUCCACUGCUUCCCUUUGAACUUGAAGUUCUUCUGAUAUUUUGAUCCACCAGUAUUGGUAUGUUGAUUACCAAAUUUACUAUUCUUAGAUGAGAUAUCUAAGCUAGCAAAUGCACGUUCUGUGCUACUCUCUUCAUGUCUGAUUAAUCUUAGUUCAAACCCUUUCAAUAUGGCAACCACAUCUUGUGUAUCAAUUACAUCAAUAUCUUUAGUAUUUUCUAUAACAGAAGCAAUGCUAUCAUAUGUUUUGGGUAAACUGAUCAAUAACUUUUGCACAAUUCUCUGAUUACUAAGAUCUUCUCCAUAGCUUCGCAUCUGAUUUAUCAGAUCAAACAGCCUAGCUAAAUAUGCAGCUAGAGAUUCACUUUCACUCAUACGGGUAUAUUCAAAAUCACGACGCAGACCUUGUAAUUUCACAGAUCGUACCUGUUUGUCCCCUACAUACUCUUGCUUCAGAAUAUCCCAAGCUUCUUUCGCAGUUUCCAAGGUUGCAAUGCGUGGAAAAAUUUGAUCUGAUACGGCUCCCUGAAUGAUUCCAAGAGCCCUUGCAUCCUUGACCAGAUUUUCACUCCGCAACUUCGUUUCCACCUCAGUGAGUUCUCAACAAUAUUCCAUAACUCGUGAGAUCGGAAGAUUGUUUUCAUUCGAAUCUGCCAGAAAUCGAAAUUUUCUCCGUUGAACACCGGAGCUCGAAGCUCCCCUCCACCAGAUCCAGCCAUGUUAGACUUAGAUCACACCUCUCUCUACUAUUUUCUUUGCAACGAUGUGUUGCAAACACUUGCUCACUAUCUCUCACAGAAUCGACGCCCAGAGAUUCAGACCCAACAAGGCUCUGAGGCCAUGUUAGAAUAAGAAGAAAAUGUAGUACAACAAUGGAGGAUAUGCUGCAAUGACUAGAGUGAAAGAGAGAGAGAAAGAAUGAGAGCAGAGAAUAUAUGACACUGCAAUUCUUUUCACACGCACUGUUUGAUUGCUCACAAAGUGAGAGAGGAACAUCUCUCUACACUUAACAGUUACACUUCCAAACUUUUGGCAGUAUUCAAAAUUACAUCCAAGUAAUCCUAGCCAUCCAUCUUACACCCUAUGAGAUGAAGACACAUGUACACUCACUUACUUAAGAACUAUGAGACUUAGAUAAGAAAGCAUACAACCAAUUUAGCUAAUCAUCCUAGCAAUAUAAGCUAGAAAUACAACUACCACAUCAGAUCACAAUUUACACACUAACACAUUUCGCCGCACCUUGUCAAAAAUUGGAUUUUCGACCAAAUCUUUCGCUGACGGCCUCCAGACUGGAUUUGGAUCCAACAUGAACUGAGAGAUUCAUCAAAAUGUAAUGCAAUCAGCAACGCUAUCACAGGGUUCAUUUAGUAGCACAAACCAACUAAGAAUCAUAGGAUGCUACGUGUAGAAUGGAACCGGUUUCUUAGAAAAUUAGUCAUCUACGAAUACCAUUUUCUUUAACAAAGAUUCUCGCAUUAAAAUUAAUUGCAACAAAUAGAAAUAGCAAAAGUGAAACAGUCACAAGUUCACAGCCACAGAAAACAAAGUCCAACCACUAAUGGAAAGGAAAAGGUGAUGUUACCUUGAGUAAGUUCUGAAAUUGCAACGAAUGACCAGGAAGGAGUGGCAACUUUCCCUCCCAGAGAUUUAAAAUUUGAGGUCCUGAUUCUGGCAAAGGUGAACCUCUAAUAAGCUCAUAAACAGCAACUCCCAAGGAGAAGAUAUCGGCCUUAUCAAGAUCAUCAUAUUUCUCAUUCAGGAUUUCUUGCGGCAUAUAUCGAGCAUCACCCUCUUCAAUUGGCAGGCUGUUGUCAAGUAGAGUUGCACAUCCAAAGUCACCAAGCUUAUAAACACCAUUCUUCACGUAUAUAUUAUCAGGUUUUACAUCUAAGUGAGCUAUUCCUCGCCCGUGUAUAAGCUGCAACGCUUUUGAAAUCUGUACAUAUAUAUUUUUACAUGAGAAAUUAGCAUAUACCAACAGAAGAUGAAACAUUGUCAAGCUAAAAAGCGUUCAAAUUAAUCAAAGACUACAGCCUGUCAGAUAGGAUCUCAGAUAUGUGUCAAUGCCAGUGAGUGUGCAUGCAUGACAAUGUGCAGCUGCUCAUUUUCAAACCAAGACGAAUAGUAUCCAACAAUGUUUUCAUGGGAUUCUUCAAGCACGGAGGAGGCAUGACACGACAGCGUAAAGCCACUGCAGAUUGAGAUACAUAAUUUUGCUUCUUCCGUGGUUCCGUUGCCGUUGGUUUCUCCAUCACAACCUCAUUGAUGCCAAAAACAUCUUUCUCAAGCUCAACUACCGGCUCAUUUCCGAACAGCGUAGGGCUGAGAGGAUUCAAUGAGAUGUCAUCUGCAUCAAGUAUGAAUUUUUACUAGCAAUUCCAAUUACCAAGUAGUUUUUCAUCAGAAUUUACUUGUAGUAACAAAGUAAAACUUUUAGCCUUCCUCUGAUAAAGUGAUUCGAACCCUUGAAAUUUGAUCAAACCGCUAAAAACAGAGGCUUCUUUUAAAAGUUAUAAUAAUUUUAACCGUUGGAUCAAAUUUCAAAAGCCUAAAUCACUUGAUCCGUGUGAUUUGGUGGAAGAGAUUCGAAAAUGAUACAUUUUCGGCUUGUUUCAAAAUUAGUGCAUACUCUACGAGGACGAUGGUAGUGGGCCGAGAUAAAAAAAUAGAUAGGACACGUGUCGCUUACACACGCAUCGAGGACCAAAUUUGGCGUCAAAACCCACUGUCGACGAACCUCUUCCUUUGAACCCACAAUUUCCUCUGUUUCUGAAGAUUUAUAAGCUCCACCACCGUGCUAUGCGUUGUUUUCAGACAAUUCCAGAGUUUGAUCAGAGCAUUUCUGGUAAACUCUCUCGAUUCGAUUCUCGCAUUUUAUCUGUGUUUUUCUGAAUUGGGAUUCUUGGAUUGAAGUGUUCUUUGGUUGUUCAUUUGGGCAGAUGAGGAAGAAUCGGAAAAAAAAUGAUUUUCCCAAUUGCACUGCCAUUGACGGUUCCACCAAGAAAAAGGUUUUUAUUUAUUUUUUAAUGUUUAUAUUUAUUUUGCUUUAAACUUCAAUGUGCUUGAUUUAAUUUGUAUGUAUAUGCAUUGUUUAUGUAGUCGUAAUUGGCAAAGGAUCGGUACAAUGUGUUUGGAUACCAAGAAAAUAUGAGAUGGUACAGAGAAAAUUAUGUGAAUUGCUUUUCUAGUUGUAUUGACCCUGCAAUGUGAGUUAGACCAAUUCGCCAAGGUAGUGUGCCAGCUUCUUUACACUGAAUUCGAAUCCAAUCCCCUCUUUGCAAAUCAUAAUUGUUUAGAAUAGAAUAUUGUCCUAUACAAAAGAAAAAUGAUUAUAGUUACUUUUGUUUUGCUUUUAUAGUAAACUUGUCUUGUUGACACAACGGAAGUUGUAAGAAAAGGGAUCACGAAUGGUCUCCCUUGAAAAAACUCUGGAAUUCCAGAAUUUGUGAGAGAAACUCUCGUUUCUGAAUUUUGUAUUGAUUCAAAAGCUAUUGUCUAUUACAAAGCAAAAGAACAUAUUAUAAACACUUGUUUCAAGAAAAUGAAAAGACAAGCAACAAUAAAUCCUCAUUGAUUAGGAAAUACCCUCUAAACGACUCGGAACGUUUCUAAACUGUUCGCAUCAUCAAGCAGUUUCUUUAUUCCUACGUUAGUCUUCUCUCCUUGAAAAGAACUCGUCCCCGAGUGAUCAAGAUAUAACGGAACAUCAACAAGAUGGAAAUGAUGCAAAUCAGUAACAUUGAAAGAGCGAGAAAUCCCCAUUGAUGUCGGCAAAUCCACCACAUAGGCGUUGUCAUUGAUUUUGUGCACAAUCUUUGAGCAUCGAUGUUUAUCAGCAGCAGCCUUGUUUUUGGAAUUCAUUUGAGCAAGUUUCUCGGCAACUUCGUUCUUGGCUGCUUGAACUCUUUCAGCCAUAUGUUCAGCUACAACAUUUAUUCAUGGGCCAUGAGGAAGCCUUAUAAAAUCCACCACAUGAUGGGGAUUUAAAGUAUAGACAAUCGAAAAUGAUGACUUGUCGGUUGCGGUAUGCACACCACUAUUGUAAGCAAAUUCGACUUGAGCAAGCACCAAAUCACAUUGCUUGGGUUUAUCUCCACAUACACAACGAAUCAUAUUACCCAACGUCUUAUUGGUCACUUCAGUUUGUCCAUCUGUUUGAGGGUGGGCAGUGUUACUCCGAUUCAAUGUUGUUUCAAAUAUCUUCCACAAAGUCAUCCAAAAGUAACUAAGAAACUUAGAAUCCUGAUAAGAAGUAAUGGACUGAGGAACCACAUGAAGGCGCACCACCUCUCGAAAGAACAAGUGAGCAAUGUGAGAUGCAUCAGAUGUCUUACCGGUCAACCACCACAAAUACAAAAUCGACUCCACGCUGGGUUCGAGGUAGACCCAACACGAAAUCUAUAGAUAAAUCCAGCCAAAUAUCAGUAGGGACAGGUAAGGGCAUGUACAAACCCGUGUUUUGGGACUGACCUUUAAAGGAUUGACAAACAAAGCACUUGCUAACUAUGUUACCAACAUCAUUUUUGAGUUGUGGCCAGUAAUAUGGUUUUAUCACACCCAAGAUGACCGCUUAAACCACCAUCAUAUAGGUCUUUAAUGAGCUUCUCCCUUCAUGAACAACGUGGAAUGCACAAGUUAUGCCCCUUGAAAAGAAACACAUCGGUAAUGUGAAAGUCAGAAGGAGGAUGGGAGCGGAGACACUUUGCCCAAAUGUCUUUAAAGUCGUCAUCCCCCUCAUAAAGCUCAUUCAAGAAAUCAAAACCCACAACCUCCUGACUCAAAGUCACCAAUAAUUGGGCUCUCCUGCUCAAUGAUCGGCUACGCGAUUAAGCGUACUGGAUUGGUGCUUGAUGACAAAAGAAAUUUUUUGGAGAUAAGUCACCCAUCGCAUAUACAUCAUGUCUAACACUUUUCUGAUUAUUGACCCACUUCAGUGCCAUGGUCGGUGUAUAGGACAAAUUCAUUUUGAACGAGUUAAUGCUCCGAUUAGAGUAAAGCACGAAUGACAGCAUAAAACUCUUGAGCAUAUGUACUCCAUUUUUGCCUCACUUCGCUAAGCCUCUCACUGAAAAAUGUAAUGGGAUGUUUUUCUUGAGAUAAAACAACUUCAAUACCUACUCCGUUUGCAUCGUAUUCAACUUCAAAAACCUUAUCAAAGUUGGGUAAGUUGAGGACGGGAGUAGAGCAUAGCUUUUCUUUAAUUAAAGCAAAGCUCAUGUCCUGUUUAUCACCCCAAAUAAAGUUACCAUUCUUCAAACAUUCUGUCAUUGGCGCCACAAUGGUGCUAAAGUUCCUUACAAACCAUCGAUAAAACGUUGCAAGGCCAUGUAAGCUUCGCAAUUCAGAUACAUUUUUGGGAGCUAGCCAAUCUCAAAUGGCUCUCACCUUCUUUUAGUUUACAUGGAUGCCAUCCGAACUUAUGACAUACCCAAGGGUAGUCGAUCGGUGAAGAAACUGCACUUCUUGAAGUUAAUUUACAAUUUGUUUUCCUGAAAUAUUUGAAGUACUUGUCUCAAAUGCUCUAAAUGGUCGUGCUCAGAUUUGCUAUAAAUUAGUAUAUCAUCAAAGUAUACAACAACAAAUAAUCCGACAAAUGGACGAAACACCUGGUUCAUUAGUCGCAUAAAUGUGUUAUGAGCAUUGAACAGACCGAACAACAUCACCAACCAUUCAUAUAAGCCAUCUUUACUCUUGAAUGUUGUCUUCCAUUCGUCUUCUGGACGGAUUCGAAUUUGAUGAUACCUACUUCGUAAAUCGAUCUUAGAAAAUAUUAUGGAAUAAACUAAUUCGUCCAACAUGUCGUCUAAACGGGAAAUGGGAAAACGAUAUUUGAUAGUGAUCUUGUUGAGCUCGGCUAUGAACACACAUUCUCCAUGUCUUGUCUUUCUUGGGCACAAGAAGAACCGGCACUAUACAAGGGUUAAACUAAUGAAGCCCAUUUUUAACAACUCAUCAAUUUUCUCCCGUAGAAUCUCAAUCUCUUUCGGACACAUCCUAUAGUGUGGCAGAUUUGGCAAGCUUGCCCUAGGAAUGAAGUCGAUUUGAUGUUGUAUAUUCUGCAUGAGAGGUAACUCAUUCGAAUAUCGUCACUCACCAAAUCCUCAAAGUCUUGUCGGAUUGCUUGAACCUUGUUCGGAAUCUGCAACUUUCGGUCUUGUGUCAUUAAGAGGCUUUUCAUGACCAAAGCACAAAUUACCUUGGUCUUUUUUGCUUCGGAUGUAACAUCGCGCUCAGAUGUGAUCAAGGUGAUGAACUUAUUCGGGUUAUCAACUUUUAUGACAACAUUAGUUGAUUUUCCAUUAGGGAACAUGGUGAUGCAAUGUUAUUCCCAAGUGAACUUAUAGACAUUGCCACGACCCUUGUGCAUGACAUCUCUAUCCUAUAGCCAUGGACUACCGAGCAAUACAUGAGUCACGUCCAUGUCAACUACAUCACACACAACUUCCUCCUUGUAAAACUUCCUAAUUGAGAUGGGAACCUUACAAGUUUCAAUCACCUUUUCCGUCGGGCCCUUCUUAAUCCACCCUGCCGAGUAUGGGUGUGAAUUUUUCUCAGUUUGAAGGUGAAAGUGCUCCACGACUUUUCUAGCAACGAAGUUUUCACAACUACCUCCGUCUAUUACCAACUGACAAACUUUGUCCCGAAUAGUGCACUUAGAGCGAAAGAUUUGAUGACGUUGAUUGUCAUCGCUGGGUUUGGAAUAAAUCACUCGCUGUAAAACUAAUGCUAACUCAUCUCCUUCUUCCUCAGCCACAUCAUCAUCAUAUUCAUCAUCUACUUCUUCAUAUUCACCUCCUUUUACUAAAUUCACUAUCUUGCCAACCCAGCAGGUGCUUGUGGGAUGCCCAUGGCUGCCACAUUUGUAACACAUGUUUCUACGAGGCUUGGUAUACGGAUUAGCUUGCUUGCGGAAUUAGUUGUUUUGAAAACGAGUAGUGUUACGAGGACUAUUUUUCACUCCUAGAUGAUCAACUUUAUUUUCAACCCUUUUUUCUGGACCCUUGGAAACCUGUUGCUGCUGCACCAUUUCUUUAUUUCUUGGGAAAUUGCUGAAAGAUUGAGAUGACUUUCCCCAUUGCUUUCUAAAACCAUCUGGUUGCUGCGAUUUUUCUCCAGCAAUUAUGCGCUAAUAGCCAACUCUUCUGUUUGAAGGGGAGUUAACACGUUGUAACCCAAUUUUGUCAUGAAUGGAAGGUUUUAAUCCAAACAAAUAUCGUACAGUUUGUCAUGCAAAGGACUCAGUGGGACGAUUUCUUGCAGCAAGGUUGAAAAACUCUUGUGAAUACUCAUGCACAGUUCGACUUCCUUGUACACAGUCGUGGUAUUUUUCAAACAACACUUGCUUGUAAUUCCGAGGAAGGAAACGUGCCCGAAGCAUGCUUUGCAUUUUACGUCAAGUUUGGACACGAUUCUUUCCUUGCCACACCCUGGACUCUUGAGGCUCAUCCAACCAAACGGCAACGCUUCCCUUUAGCCUCCAUGCCAUAACUUUAACUUCUCGCAUAUUCGAAGAAGUUCUCUUACUCCGCAAGCCAAUCUAAAAACUCUUCAAUCGAUAAGUUUCCAUUGAAAGUGGAAAUUUCAAUUUUUUUUUUCUUCUCAUGGAUUUUCAGGGAUGGCAGAGAUAACGUCAUCUUCAGAAUCUGAAUCACCGUUAGGGAAAUCUCUGACUUGCUAGGGUGCUACAACCAGUUCGCGAGCACGAACAACAUGUUGAGCGCCGCCUACGGCCAGGCCUGCAAUCAUCUCUCUAAUUUCAGCGAGGGAAUUUUGCAUUGUAUGAUUGAUGCGACACUCCAUAGCCACAAGCUCUCAACUCACGUAUGUGAAACUUAUGAUAUUGGUUCUUGCUUCGUCUUCAGCCAUUGAAUUGGAAAACCGGGCUCGAUGCCAACUGAUAUAGCAGAAGUUGUAAGAAAAUGGAUCACAAACGGUCUCCCUUGAAAGAACUCUGGAAUUCCAGAAGUUGUCUAUUACAAAGCAAACAAACAGAUUAUAAAUUCUUGUUUCAAGAAAAUGAAAAGACAAGCAACAACAAAUCCUCAUUGAUUACGAAAGACCCUAUAAACGACUCAGAACGUUUCUAAAUUGUUCGCAUCAUCAAGCAGUUUCUUUAUUCCUACGUCAGUUACAGGAAGAGAGGGUGUAUUAAUCAUAAUUCUAUUCCUAAACAUGAGGAAUUACCUAUUUUGUCACGUCUAGAAGUGCUGAAAGGUGCGUGUUUUUUCGAAAAUGGCUACUAGGCUUGAACUGGCAUAGGCUCUAUUUAGCAACACAGUGAUGUUUGUUUAAUUCUUUCAGAUGCAGGUUCUAAUGCGUAUGCCUGCAGCUUGGCGGAUGAAGUGAGCUCUAACGAAGAGGUAGUAUGCAUUCAGAUAUAUAGAUAUCUUAUUUUUGGUGUUUUUGUGCUAAUGCAAGGAGUAAUGUGCUUGUUUAGCGGAAUGGAUCUCCUAGGUUCUUGAAUUUUCAGUGGUGGGCAGCAAGCGACGUGGAGAUGAGGCCAUGAACCGCGACAGAGUGAUGGAGAUAGGGGUUUGUUGUUUGGGUCACGGUGGUGUGAAAGAAAUGAGCAAUCUGAAAGGCAAAGAGAAAGAAAGGGGAAAGUGAAGUGGAAUGGUUUAGAAUUUCACUUGUUUGAUAUUUCAUUCUAGCGCUAUAAUUUCCCACUAUGCAUUUUUUGUAAAAUAUCUAAAAAGUUUAUGUGCGUAAAUGUUGUUUGUCCUGUGUUUCGAGAAUACGUGAUGAAUCUACUCGCCACUAGCUUGUUUUUAAGUUAGAUAUCUAUCAGAGUAGAUAUGUGUGACGCAAAUGAAUAAUUCCUCACGGAUUCUUAUAGUAUGUGACAAAUUUUUAGGCGUCACAAUCAAUUUCGUCACCUAAUCUAUAUUUUCUUGUAGUGAAGGUAUGGACCCAAAUAUAUAGAAAAUUCACUUUACGACAUAACGCGAUGCCUCAAAAGAGAAGGAAAGUGUGUCGUGUAAAUUGUCAAAUACGACACACGACGCUUAAGCCGUAAAUAUUUUUAUUUAACGACUUGCACAAAAGUGAUGCCGUGAAUGCUAGAUUAUGUGCAAGUAUUAUAACAUGAACUUUACGAAUGUCGUGAAUAAUAUCAUUUAAGGCAUGCCAGUACUGUACGCUGCAUAUUUCAAGUCGUAAAAAACCCAAACUGUUGUAGUGAAUCAAUUAUCAUUCUCCAAAUCAAUUUCAAAGAAUAGAAAUAAUCAAAGUGGUUCCUCCUCCAUCUAUUAAAUCCUCCAUUGCUAAGUCCAUAUUUUCCCAAUUCAUGAGCCACCACGUUAUAUUUUCUUUUUAAAUCCUCCAUUACUAAGUCCAUCCAUGUCUUUAGGUGUAUAUAAAUAAUAUAAAGUAUAAAUAUACAUGUUCUCAAUCAAUAAUAUAACACAUGAAUUAAUAAUAUUAUUUGAACUAUCACCGGGAUUCUAAUACAAUCAGUAAUAUAUUGCACUAGAAAAAGAACAUGUAAGAGGGUAGACCAUAAAAAAAAGGAAGAAAAACUUUUAGACAAAAUUCAUAGAAUGAACAACCAAUUGCUACUUUACAAACCAACGUGUCAUAAUACAUUAGCAAUGGAGCAUUGCAUAUAAGCGUAUGUAUAUAUUACAAUUGUAGUCUACCUCGUGGCCGGAAGAGCUCUCGGUCACCUGAUAACAUUUUUAAUUUGUAAGAACUCAAACCUAAUUCCAGAAUUCUUGAUUUAUUUAUUUAUUUGAUGUAGCUAGCUAGCUAGCUAGUAAUUAAUCACCUUAAAUAGCUUGUCUCAAGCAUGUACUAAAAUUUGUAUCCACUUUCUUUUGCUCUAAAGUUCAUAAGUCAUGCCCACUUUCAACAGCCGCUUGUGAGGAAUAUCAAACACUUUGUCACUCUGCCUCAAAUUCCUCUUCAAGAAAUUGUAAGCGUAAUCGAUCACAAUUCUUUUCGCUAUGCCAUGCCAGCUCCUUUGGCAGCCGUCACUUCAUUUUCCCCAAUCAAAUGAACAACUCCCCGCCUCCAUGCUUUGUCUAUUGCCUCAAUCUCUCUGUCCAACAAAUCUUGUUGCUUAUCAUGAUCAUCAACUUGCUGCUUCAAAUCCUCCUUUCCUUUCUCUCCACCGUUAGCCAAAGUACUGUCUUCGAAUUCUUCCUCGAUCUCCAACUUGGUAUCCCCAUAAACGCUACUGUGCAUAAUAUUUGUUUGAGAUAUCCAAAAAUUAUCCUUUAUGAACUCUUUCAACUUCUCCACCAACAAUCCUUCGAAGGGUUCGUUCUCAUUGCGAACAUCGGUGUACCCAUAUCUAGCAACGCAUCGGAACACAUUCAGAUCCUUAGCCUCUACUUGCCGAAAAAGAAAGCGCUCUUCCAAUGGAACCUUGCUUAUAGGCAACGAUUUGAUUGAGACAAAAACAAGGACGGAGUGCAAUGCAGGCACAUUAGCAGCGUAAUGAUUGAAGAUUGGCGGAAUGCCUUGAACAAGUUCCGAAUAGAACAUGGCGAGGCCAGGCAUACGAGAAAAGUUUGCAUCAACAGCAAUUUCCUUGAGUUGUUCGGGAGAAAUUUUGUGUUCAAGCUCGUAAUAGUACUUUCUUCGAUGCACAUCAUUCCACACAAACAUUAUAAACAUCAACAAUGUAGCAAACGCGAGGGGAAGAUAUCCGCCCUGGUCAAGUUUGUAGAGCACUGAACUUAGAUACAGAAGCUCUACACUUCCAAUAACAAGAACAUAUGAGAUGACGAGGAAUAUGUUGGUCUUCCAUAUCAUGAUCAUGAUUAGCACUAGGAAGGAUGAUGUAAGCGUCGUUACAAACACCACUGCUACACCUGUACAUAUAUAUACGUAUGACAAUUAGACAAAGUCAUUCAUUUUUAGUUUAAUGUGCACAUAAAUAUUUUCCUGUCAGACUGAAUGUGGAUCAUACAUUAAUUCGACUAUUUUUUAAUGUAAGACGGUGACUCAGAUUUUGGCAACAUAAGCAUUUGUUUGAUGACAUAAUUAAGUUUGUAAAGAGAACAUUACCAUAUGCAUUUCCGAUCUUUGCAGUGCUUCGAAACCCUAAAGUGACUCCAACACAAGCUAACAUGAGAAGGUAGUUCACUUCCGGAAUAUAAACUUGUCCGGCAUACUUGGUUGAUGUGUGCACGAUUUUCACACGAGGGAAACACCCUAAUGAUAGUGAUUGUUGGAUUAUAGAGAAAGUCCCUGAAAUCAUAGCUUGACUAGCUAUGAUCGCUGCCAUUACAGCCACUACAAACAUAGGCCAAUACAAAGGCUCUGCAUGCAUUCAGCACAAUUAGUACACAAUUAAAAAAUUAUGCAACCACCUAAGUUAGUUAUUAUAUAUGGUUGUUAAUAUUGAGGUAUACAUAUUUGAUAGUUAGCUCGUAAAAGGUUAAACUGAUAAUUUCAUAGGGUUUUGAUUGACAAUGAGUGUUUUAUUAAUUAGUAAAGAUAUACUUACUUGGUAUGGACUUGAAGAAGGUAUCUGCAACAAGAAGAUGGUGCUUGCGAAGAAAAGAGGCUUGUCCAGUGUAUGCCAAUAUGAUAGCUGGAUAAGUAAUUGUGCACAUACUUAUUUGAAUGGAUUGUACUGUGAAGUGUCCCACGUCAGCAAAUAAAGCUUCAGUUCCUGCGAUUGAAGAUUGAGACAUUAAAUAGUUCCGAUUAUGAAAUUUGUAUGGUAAAAAUACAUUAUGUAUUAUCUAUUUUUGAAAGAAAUUAACAUUUAACUAAUAAAUAGUUUAGGGGUGUACAUAGGAAUUCUAUAGAAUUUUAAAAGAAUUAUAAAUUCAUGGAGUUUUAAUGGGCUUAUGCAGAUUACUUGUGAAUUCUUUUAAAAUCUACAGGUGAGAGACUGGAUUUGUUAAAAGUCUAAAAUACAUUAUGAAAACCCUCUAAGCCCAUCAAAAUACCUUUUGAAAAUUCUUUAAAAUCAAAUCAUGAUACUUCUAUAAAUUCUUUCAAAAUCUUGAUUACACCAGGAUUUAAUCUAUGAAGUAUGAACUUGUAGAACCUCUUUAAAAAUGCUAAUUGAAUAACGUUGAAUUUUUAUAAAUUCAUUUAAAAUCUUGAAUGAAUACCAUUGAAUUUUUAAACUCUUUCCAAAUCCUUUAUAUGGUCUUAUUUAGAAAUUAAUUUUUUAUGUUACUUUGCAUGAAAUUAAUUGUAAACCUGUUAUGGCUAAGACAAUGCCACCAAGAGAAAUCCAAGCGUCUUUUUUGUUCCUCCUGAAGUAAUCUACUAUGUAUUGUGGAUUUAGAGCCUUGACCACCGUCGGAUCAAACUCGAUGAAGUUGUAGACGCCAAUUCCACCAAUCAUGGUAAACCAAAUGCAAAUAAUUGGUGCAAAAAUGUAGCCUACUUUAUCAGUUCCAAAUCUUUGAACCAUGAAUAGGGCAAUCAAGAUGACUACUGAUAUCAAAACAACCCGACCUGUGCACACAGAUUAAAUUAAAACUAUUUAACCAAAAACAUUUAAAUUUAAAUUACUCAAAUUAUCUUUUCACUAUCUAUUUUAUAGAAUGAGGAUCCUCUCCAGAUCGUCUUUGUGAGGAUCCAAGGAUCCUUUAAUUUUAUCAGUUCAUUAUAUAUCGUGUUAUCAAUCUUCGUUAAGUAUUGUUUGUGUUCAAUUUUAAAUAACAAAAUUUAAAAUAAUUUCUAGCUAUAUAAUGUAUAAUGAACAAACAUAAUUAAAAGAUCUGAGAAUCUGAGGAGGAUCCUCAUUCCGUUUUAUAUACCACACACAAAUAAUAUUUUGUAUCAAUACCUUGUGUCAUUGCAGAUGUGGCUUCUUUGAUUCCUCCAACAGCCGACAGAACUGCCAUCAAAUUGGAACAAAAACAAUUUUAAUAUUCAAGUCAAAAGAUAUUAAGCACUUAAUCAUGUGAGAGUUGGAGACGCAACUUUGAUUUUGUCUUAUAUUGCAAAAUUACUCAACUUUUUCGACUUCAUUUAUGGGAAAUUUUCUAGGUUCUGCUUUUUAUUUUAACUUAUGAUUGUGAAUAAGAUAACAUGGACUCCAUACGGAGAGGAACCACUUUUAUUUUAGAGUUUGGUUCUGCCGGUUUUGCCCUAAAUUUUAUUUUUAUUUAUUAUUUCAUGAUUUUCCUUUUUUUUAUUUGAGCUAUAACUCAAGUAAUAAUACUCUAUGUAGAUCCUUUAUUAAUACAAUUAUAGACAAAUAAAUUAGAUGUGUAGCAAGAGUUUUGUACAAGCGCCCAUUUACUACCUUGUGCAAAAGGCCCCUAAAAUAUGAGAGUCGGCCAUGUACUUGUCCAGCUAUUAAGUUACACUAAUAAGCAUGUAAGUUGAGAGAUUAUUGUUAAACUUUAGAGACAGUUUCAGAAUUGAUAUUGUUUAUGACUAAAUCAUUUGUUUAAUAAGUUUUAUAUUAAAAGUCUCAAUAUCCCAUUCCCUUUAGUGUAUAUUAUAUCGUUUGUUUUUAAAAAAAUCUCAAUAUAAUAAGUAGUGAAACUAUUCGAUAUAGAAAGAAUUUAACUUCAUUAGAUUUUUGAACCGAGACAUAGUUAAAAAAUUCUAUAUAAUCAGAAAUAUAUUCACCUUUCAUCACGCCACCAUGUCAAAUAAGGAGAUAUAUAGAUAGAUACUUUUUUUUUCUUCUUAAUUAAAGAUUUGACUAACCUGACAUGCAAGGAGUGAGGACACCAUCACUAAUGACCAUGGAAGUACCAAGCAUGGUGGCGAAUAGUAGAAAUAAUUUGGCAAAUGGGCUGUUCUCCAAUGAAGAUUUAAGCCUAGAUGCCCUCUUUACACUUUGGUAGGCAACUCAAGCUGAAAUUUUGAAACAUCACGAUCCUCUGCUUGUUGACUCGGAGUCAAACCAACCUUGGCAUAUCGACACAGCAAAGAGUAUAGUGCGAACGUCCCUCCUGCACAAAAAAUAAAUAAUAACAUUAUGUACGUGAAGUGUUAUAUUUGCUAUGGUGAACAAUUUCUUUCUUCUGAAUUGUAAGUUCGCAGAAUUAAGAAAGACAGUUAAGGUCAUGUUUACUCUAUUUACCAAUAUGAGUACAUUGACUCUAGUGAAGCGUAUUGUUAGUAUAAUUUAAUUAUGGGUUAAAAUCAACUAAAAUAUGAUUAAAAAAUCAAAUAAAGUUUUCAUGAAUAAGAGAGGAUUCAAACUUUAGUGAAAAAAUAAUACACUCCUCCCUCUAUACAAUUUGACCAAACUUGUAUUUGCCUACGAGUUUUCCCCUGUAAGGAUCUUCUUUUAGAUAUUUAAAAGUAUACUAUAUAUAUAUAUAUAUAUUUAAUAAAAAAGACUAUGAUUGAAUUGGCAAUUUAGAAAAACCUAUCAUUAUGCGUAUUAAAAAUUAAUAAUUUUGUUAGACUCCACCAGACAAGUUCCUCCCAGGUUCGUACCUCAAACUUGUAUUAAAUUCAAACUUGGUAUCUUUUUUUUUUUCUUUUGGUCUUUUUACGUGUCAGAAAAUGACACAGCGAAACAUCAAAGGUUGGGGCUUUUGGUCGGAUUAAAAUGACAUAAUUAGGACUUUUGAAGUGGAAGAAAAACUGCAAUUAACAAUAGAUUAAUGGGGACUCAAUUAUAUAUAAGGGAAUUCUUCUUUCUUUUUGACAGUUUAAUUAUAAGAAGCAAUAAAAAAUUUCAAACCAACAACGUAUGAGUCUAAAGUAUAUGCUGAUGGAGAAAUUUUGCAAUUUGUCUAGAACACGUGGUGGUGCACCACAUGUCAUUAUAUAAGCGGGGAAAAUUUUUAUUUUUUAAGUGUCUCUUUACUUGUAUGAUGACAUAUGGUGUACCACUCAGUGUUUCAAUAAUAUUGAAAAAUCUCUCAAGCUCAUGAGACACCGAAAGCUAAAGGAUGCUUUUUAUAUUUAUUUAUUUUCUAUGAAAAGUUGAGAACAUAAUUAAAUACGAAGGAUUUAAUAAGUGAUAAUAUUUUGUUUGUAAUUAUACAGAUUUAGGAGAUGUAUGGAAUCUUACCAUCACCGUUAUCAUUGGCCCGUAAGACGAUUAAAACAUACUUAAUCAGAGGGAUUAAGGUGAGUGUGUAAAAGAUCAAAGAAAGAACACCCAAAAUGUCAUCGCUAUGGUUGAUGCCUUUGGUGAAGGUGCUCGCAUACACAUAGAGAGGUGAUGUACCAAUGUCCCCAUAAACUAUGCCAAUGCUCUGAAAUGCCAAGUGCAUUAUCACCGACCAGUCCGCACCCUAAAAAAAAUUCCAAAAGAAAAUAAAUUUAGAAUAAGUUCAACAACAACAACAAUCAAACUUUAUCUCAUUAAGUAGAUUGGCUCUAUGAAUUCUAUAACGUCACUGCACUCGAUUUUACGCCAAGUCUUCCAUCAGUUUCAAGUACUUCAUAUCUUUUUUUAAAGUCUCUUUCAAAAUCUUUCUAUCCCUUCAACUACCGUUUUUGCCAUAAACCUUCGCCUCAUAGUCACAUCUUCUAGUCGGAGCAUUUAUAGGUCUUCAGUUCACGUGUCCAAACCACUUCAACCAAUUUUCUCUCAUUUUAUUUUCAAUUGCGGCUACUCUUACUUUACCUCAAAUAUCCUCGUUCUUAAUCUUAUAUUUUCUUUUCUCAUCUCUGUUACACUCAUUUUUUUGCACGUGUUGAUUUUUGAUCUUCCAACAAUCUGUGCCAUAAAGCAUUGUUGGGCUUAUUGUUGUCCAAUAAAAAUUUUCCUUGAACUUUAGUGGCAUAUGACAUCGUACAACACUCAAAGCACUUUUCCACUUUAUCCUCCCGCUUGUAUUCUAUAAUUGAGGUUUCUAUCCAAUUCUGAAUAAAAUCAUGUUUUCUUUUUAUCUUAUAAAAUUAUUCUGCUGUAAAAAAAAAAGCUAUUUUGUCUUCUUUCUUAACUAUUCAACAACUACUGUAAAAAAAUUAAAAAAAAAACUAUUCAGCAAUCGUUGGUCUUUUUUUUUUUUUUUUGUUGAAAACAACUUGAGAAUUAAAUUCGAAACCUCUUCAAAUGAAAUGGAGGAGAUUAGAUGCCGCUGUAUCAAAUGACCUAAAAAAAAUAUUUAAUAAACCAAAUAUGUAUAUAUCAAUAAAAUCUAAUUGAAAUAGUACUAUACUAUUAAAGAACAUAAGAAAAAUGGAGAUCGAUGGACCUUGGAGGCAUGGCCAUGGGGAGCUGUGAAACGGCGUGACUCGAGGUCCAAGGAGUCGUUUCUUCGCAACUUUUGCCAUGAAAGUUUCUUCCGUUUGAGUUGAUCCUUAUGAUGCUCAUGAUGAUCAGAAACUUCCUGAUGAUCUUGGCUUCCCUCAUCUGUAGGGUUUUCCACUACUACCUCUUCAUCAGACAUUUCUAUUAAACCUAGGUAGCCACUUCUCACACACUAAAAUUAAUUUCUAGAGAGAGAGAGAAAACUGCAGGUAGGUCUUCCUCUUUGAGAGCAAAAGCAAGCUAGCUAGCUAGGUGUUUGGGAGAGAGUUAGAAAUCUGGGGGUGCCAAGUGUGGGGAGGUGUUCUAUAUGUGAGGAUGGAUGGUGAUAUUUAAAGGCAAAUUAAUUGAGGAAGAGGCCACAACUCAUUUACUAUAUGCUCAUAUACAUUGAUCGUAUAUUUAUACGCAUGGUUUGCACACAUAUACGUACAAAGUUGAAUAAAAUGUAGGGAAACAUAUCUCAUGGCACUAGCAAAACAAAUCUCAUGGCAUUAAGACAAGAGCUUGACCUUGUUUGUGAGAAUAAUGUGAAGCUGGCCUAAAUGAGCUUCGUCCGAGGUUGAAGAUGUUGAUGGGCUCCCAAUUUGAAAUCUUUUUAAUUGCUACAUAUUUAUCCCUUUAGCCCUUGAUCUGUCAAUUCUUACAGAAUCAUAUACACACACAUGUGUGUGUGCGUGCGCACGCGUGCGUCCUUGUCUAUUUUAUAUAUUAUUCACGAAUCACAUUCACAAGAAAUUUUUUAGGUACUUGAAAUACGAGUGACACACCAUGUGUCAUUAUACAAAUAGUGUGAUAUUUGUAUUAAAAAUUUCUUCACAUGUAUAACGACCCAUAAAAAUUUUCCGAUCAUAAUAAAAAAAUUUCUCCACAUUUUCAUGACAUUUCCAUUUUUCUAAGGUGACGGCACUAUCAUUCAUACUCCCUAUUAUAUAAAAUUAGGUUACCUUGUUCUUUUGGACUUGGAAUAUUAAUGCACAUUACCCAAUUAUAAUAUUUUUGUUUUAAAUAAGUAUUUAAAUGCCCAAUAAUUCAACUUCUUCAUAGGUCAAGUUUUGUUACCAGCUGUGUAUCUACCAUAUUUUAUAUUUUAUAACUCAUGCUCCUUUUAAUAUAAUUUCCCUUUCUUGUAUAAAAAUAGUUUCUUAUAUAUAAAUAUUCUUUGUAAAAAAUUUGAAAACUUAUAUGUGAAACUAAUGAAACUUACAAUGAUACAAGGAUAUUCUCAAUAAAAAUGGCAAUAAUGAAAUUUACAAUGAUACAAGGAUAUUCUCAAAAGAUAUACGUAAUACGUAUAAGGUAGAUUUGAGGCAAUAAGGUCCAUAACUACAGUCAAAGACUCAAAAGUCAAUCCCCCGUGCGCUUAUGUUAGAGGUCACACAAAAUGAUAAUCCUUUAUUUUAUGUGUAACAGGUUGUUUCUAUAUACAUGACGAUGUGAUAUUAUUAUAUUGUACAAACUUUAUACUUAGGAUUGUUUAUUCUUUCUAUAGAUAAGUUCAUUUAAUUUAAAGAUUGUUUAGUUAUCCUUAACACAUGUCAAACAAAUCCAUUGUUAUGGUAACAAGUAAUAUCAUUACGUUUAACUGGCUCACGUGUGUGACGAUUUGCUAUUUUUCAUCUUAUUCUUUAUAAUUUUUAUUUAGUUUAGUUUGGAUUUUUUUUUUAAAUUAAAUUAUUUUAUGUUAGAAUCUUAAUUAGAAAGACGUAUUUUGGGGAUAUUGAAAGCUUCACCAUUUGGGUGUAUAUAUGUAUGUAUGUAUGUAUGUAUAGCUAAUUAAGCUUGAUUUGCAGCAAAUAAGAAACUGUAUUAAUACUGAUCUAUCACAGUUAAUCUGUUGCUUUGCUUAGUUAUAAUCGGAUAACUUAGAGCAAAAGCCAGAGAGAGUUUUGUUGUGGAAGAUGUCCACGCGAUCGUCGUCACGUGUGACAUGAGUAGGAUUUAGGCUUUAAGCUUUUCGGAAGUAUCAGAGGAAGGCAUCAACUGUUUGACUUAGGGCACGCAUGGUAUGGCGCAACCAAAGCUUUUGGUCCUUGGCGUUGUCAAGAUUCCACUGCAUGCUGGUAGCUGCUUUAGAGGGGGGAGUUUUUGGGGUGCGAAAGACGCAGUCGCACAGGCCCCAAAUUUGAAGGGAUUCUCAAAAUUUUUGUCACCUAGUAUUUAUAUGUAAUAAUAUUCUAUAUUUAAAAUUGCUUUUGUUAUGAGAUAAUGUUCUAUAUUCAAAAAUUGAUUUUAUUAGCACAUUAAAAUCUCAUCUUAGACUCCUUAUAAGCGUAAUUUUUUUUUUCUUUUCUAACUAUAAAAAUUUAGAGCACAAUAAGAUAGUUUGAGUGCUAAUAAUACACCAUAAAAGACGGUAUUUUUUUCAAUAUUAUUAUAUAAUAAUGUCACAUAUUCAAGUGAAACUUUAAAGUUAGAGUUUUUGAAGUUUGUUUUCUUGUUUGGUUGUUUAAGAGUGAAGUGCUUUUGAUUAUUUAGUAAACAUUAUGUUUGUAGCUCUUUUACUUAUUAUUAUUAACAUUUUUAAACUUGCAAUCAGUGAGUGCUAAACUUUGUUUUGAUUUAAGUAAUUGUUUUCUAGCGUCAAUACAUUGUCCUACAUUUUUUUUAAGACUAUCUUAAGGAGGGGCGCUUUUAUAAAUUUAGCACAGGGACCCUAAAAUCUCAGAGACGACCCUGCUGCUUAGGGGCCAAUCAACAGGAGUUACGUACCAAAUUUUGUUAUUUUUUCUGGAGUAAUGUUUGGGAGAUUAAAUUUAUAGACAAAGUUUUGAAAACUAAAAAACAUGGAAGUUGAUGAUUAGUUUAUUACUUACACAUUGAUAAACGUGCUUAGUCUUAUUGGUGACACAUGAUUUAGUUUGCAAAUUUAGUCUCCAAAUUUGGUCUCCCUAGCAUUAUUAUUUUUUAUGUUGUGUAGCAAUUGCUACUGCUAACAACCCCCUAUGGCUUUUAUGCCAACUUCCAAAUUUAGAUCAUGUUUUAGGAGGGGGUAUUCGGUUGGGCCACUGUACUAUGGCAACACAUACAAAGUGUAGGGACCAACGAGCAAGUAGAUGGGAUCAUGGAACAAAAUAUAGGACUUACAUGAAACAAGAACACUAAGGCGACUGUAUCAUAAACCAAUUAAAUAACGCCACAUGAGAAAUUGAAAACAAAUGGUGUUGUGUUAUUAGUCUAGAAUGCCAAUAUAGGUUUAUAUAUAUUAAAUUUAUUAUUAUUAAGACGAAGUGGAGGUUUCGAAACUAUUAAAAUAAUUUAAGAAAUGAUAGAGUUUCAAACUCAGGAUAUUUGAGGGGAAACUCAACACCCUAUCUACUAAGAUAUUAGAUUGCAUGCAUAAAUGCCAAUGUAGGUAAACCUGCCUAAGGAAGAGGUGUUUUUAUGUGCAAUCGGAAGCAUCAUAUGGUCCAAAUACCUGUAUUGAAGUUUUUCUCCUAAUUUAGUGCUAUCUUUUAUAUGUAUGUGUAAGUUGUAGCUAUCAGUUAUACCCCUUAUGAUUUAGCUACAAUGGGCGAUUGGGGUCAUUCGAAAGUGACUCUAAGAAGCAGCUCAUGAGAGUUGCUUUUCCUUAAAAUCACUAGCCAUCGUGAUUUCAAGCAAAAUCACCAAAAGUGAUUUAUAGAGAAGCACAUCUCCUUCUCCCAGAAGUGAUUAAAGCCCUCUCAGAAUUACUUUCCGAACGAAACCUUAGACUCCAAAGUGUGAAACUUGCCUGUUCACAAAUUCAUAGGCUUUUUCUCUCUAAAACAUCCUUCAUAGAAUUUUAUAUUAUAUAUUUAACCCUAUUCUUGGUAUAUUUUGGUUAAUAUUUUGGAAGAAUUUUGAUACUUUGAAUUGUAUUUUCAAUAUAGGACUUUCAACUUCCUCUGGUGCAAAACGUGGUCAAAUGGACGAAUUUUGGAGUAAUUCCAGUUGGAAGACGUUCGUGAGCCACUCAGCUUGAUCGUAUCAAAAAUUGGGAUUUUUCCAUCAUGUGGUUAUUUUCUGGCGAUAAAAUAAAGGAGCAAUGCGUGGUGUUGAAAAAUGACGUUUCUGGGUUUAAUUUGCAUUUUUGGAGCCCAAGAUGACCUCAGAUGGUUUCGUGGCCUUCUGGAGAUGUGUUCGGAACGUCCUUAUCUUUAAAACAAGCUAUCCUGGCCCGGAUUUGGAGGAGAUCUGAGGCUAAAACGUGGCUGGACAAGUACUUGGCAGAUUCUCCUAGUUUAAUUAGGGUUUUAUUUUUUUAAGAGAUUUUAUUAUUUUUCUUAGUUUCCUAGUUGGAUUAAGAAACCUAUGUCUUAGGGUUUGUAAGGGCUGAGCAAAUAUAUGGCUUUGGCCGUCUAUAGUUUUUGGGGACGCUUAUUAUUAUUCAACUUCAGAGACAAAGAACUUGGCUAGGGUUCUUGGAGAUUUUCUACUUUAAGGUGUUUUCAUUCCUUUUAUUUUUAAUAAUAUUUUCUAUGAUUUCAAUUAUGAAUAUGCAUAACUAAUUCAUUUUGCUAGGGCGAAGCCUUGAGCCUUAGCAUGAAUAUGUAAUUUUUAUUUAAUUGCUUAUGAUUGAUUGCAUACACACUUUGAAUUAUUGAUCACUGUUUUAAACUAUCUAAUUAUCUUGAUGACUGACCACCAUUAGGAUGUUUACACAAGUAAUUAGAUGCAAUUUGGUCGAAUAUCACCGGAUGAUUGAGUAUUGCUUCUUGUGAUUGAUAGAUGUAAUUUCAUCUAAGGCGAAUAUCACGUUUUUAGGGGUUGCAUGGUUCUUCAAAGGUUUUCAUGAAACUUAAUGAGUCUUGCAUGUUCAUAUUUGAUCUGAAUAUCACAGACGAAUUGCAUGUUAGAUAUACGUUCUUGCUUGAAUAUCACGAGGAUAAUAUAUAUUAGGAAAACCUAACCUUCGAAGUGGCAUGUGUAAAUCAUAAAUAAUUGGUAAAAAUACAUAAAAUUGCUAUGUGAUGGUGGAACCCUAGUGUCUUUAUAAAUUGGUAUUUAAAACUCUUUUCUUCUAUUAUAUUAGUUUUUAUUUAAAAUUCGUUUUUAAUAUUACCUACUCUCAAACUCUCUUUUCUCAAGUUUUAAUUCUAAGUAUUUAAUUAGGAAUUGUUUCUACAUAAAUUAUCCAAAUAGUCCUUGAGGAAAACGACCUUGCAUGAGCAUCUAUACUAUAACAUCCUUGUAUUCUUGCAAGUAUUUCAUGUGAUUUUGACCCUAUUUGCAUAGACGUUAAAAAUCCUAUCAAGAAAUUGGCGGCGUUGCCGGGGACUAUGUUAGAUAAUUUUUGUUUAAACUUUUUCUGAUUAUUUUUUAUUAUUUUUCGUCCACAAAAAAAUCAAUUUAUUUUAACGCUUUUGUGUUAUUGCAGAUUCUGUAAACUGCAUGGUCCAGAUUAGAUUAGGAACUGCCCAGAUUGCACAGUUUGAUCCAGAACCCGAACGCACACUACAUAGACAGAGGAGAGAAAAUAAUUUGCUUUCAGAUUAUGUACUGCAAGGCACAUUCCUGCAGGAAUUAUUUGCUGGUUUUGUAGACAGUCAAAUCACAAUGGCGUUGCAAUUGCCUGCAGCAGGCAGGCCACUCAGAGAGUCAUUGGUUGCCCAAGCCAAUGAUGUUCCUAAUUGUAUUGUGUAUCCUUCCCAGGAAGAUGGCGAUUCAUUUGAGAUCAAGCACCAUAUGCUUGAAAUUUUACCUACUUUUCGUGGGCUGCCUAACGAGGAUGCUAAUUUACAUGUUGCAAAAUUCAUCGUGGGUUGCAAAAAUAUCUUGAUCAGGGGUUUUUCUACCGAGGCUAUUAAGUUACGUCUUUUUCCUUUUACUUUGAAGGAUAAGGCUGAAACUUGGUUAUUCACUCUACCGGCUAAUAGCAUUACUACUUGGCAACAAUUGCAUACAAGUUUCCUGAACAAAUAGUUUUGUCAUGACGUUGCCUUUGCCGCUCUAGGGUAUUUUCCCUGCAACAGAACAAUCAUGUGUAUGAGUUCCAGUGGAACCAGGUGUAUCAGUUUGGGGGUUGAUUGAUUCUUUGUCUUCAACACGUUUCGAGUCCACAUGGGCAUAGAUAUGUUUUGGGGUGAUCAGGUUUCAUCUCAUGGGGAGAAGAUAAUACAUGCAUGCUGCUUUACUCAGAGAUGGGUGUUUAUACCUUUCCGAUCCACGGUCGCGUUGACUUAGAAAUUUGUUUUGCCAUUUUGUCGACUACAUUUACAGCUUGCGCACUCUUUUUCUCAGAUUUCCACUCGAUCCGAGUCACCUACAGGCACAGAGAGACAGAGAUUUGGGUUAUGCAAUGACUUUGAAUUAUCCUUAGCCAUACAGUGCUCAACAUUUCACGACAGGAGUUGUACCUUUCUUAUGCUCGGAUCUGUGGGUCUGACACGCUUUGCUUCUGUUUCUACUUUGCAGACAUCAGAUCCGUGAGCCGUCUACACACAUUUUAACUCACAAAAAUUUGGUGUCUUGUUGCCUCUCUCUUUUGUUGUGGAUCCACGUACUCUCGCAGAAACAAAGGCAUGCAUGCAUUAGUUUUUUUUUUUCCAUGAAAAGAAGCUCACUGGAACUAAAUGACAGCAUGGAACGAUUUUUUUUUACCUUUAGCAUUUCAGGAUUCCCGACCGAGCUCCAGUGCAGAUGAUGACUCCCAUUUAUGGGGAUACAUAGAAAUGAGAGGGCUACAAGUGUUGAGCAUACUGAGAGUCUCUUUGGAUUUUCUAGAGAGAGUGAGACGGAAACCUCUUUUCAUUUUGGAGAGAAAUGGGUUUUGAGAGAUCAGAGAGUGUUGAGCGCAUUAUGAGAAAUGAGAAGGCCUAGGGGUUCUAAAAGCCAUCUGACAUGACAAUGAGUGACUAUAACACAUUUCAGCGUCUCUAUUGAAAUCUUAAGAGCAAAUCCACCCUUGCUUUUUGCUCGGGGGACAAGCAGCAGGAAAAGGCCCGAGAGCCGGUGGGUUCUUCUCCAGCCAUGGAGAGCCCGAGUGAGGGUGGGAGCCCAAGGGCCGGGGGGUGGGCAAUUGACAGGCCUGUGGCCCGAGGCCCGUGACGUCAAGCCUGGGUCCGGGCUUUUUUUUUUUAAUUUUUUUGUGUCAGGCGCGUGCCCCUCACUCACAAGUGGGGGCGCGUCGCCCGACAGGAAAUCAGGGCACGGGCCCAGCAACCCAGUUACCGUUGGGAAGCCACGUGGCUUCCCACGAUCCAUUUGAUCCCAACGACUAUUUAAUACGAGCCGUCCGAUUUGCAACAGUAAUAAAAAAAAAGCUGAUUUUAUAUCAACCGUUCGAUCUGAGAUCAACGGUUGAUAUUAAUCUUCUUUAUAAAUUAAAAAAAAAGAAAAAAUAGUUUUAAAAUUAAGAAAAGUUACCGUUGUGACACGUGGUACAAUCUGGAGUGUUGGAAUUCAAAUUUUUUAAAAUCCAACGGCAGAGAUUAAUUAUUUGAAUAAAAUUUUUAAAAAAAAUUGUAAAAAAUCCGAAAAAAUUGUAAAAAAAUAUGAAAAACAUUUGUAAAAAAUUGUUUGUACUUUUCUAUAAAUACCACUUCUUCUCCAUCUACUUUACACCACAAUUUCAUAUUUUCUCAACUACUUCCAAUGAAAUUCUUAUCUUUCUCCCAAAGUUUCAAUCCAAUUUUUUUUCCACAAAAUGACUACUGAUGCAGGUACGAAUUGGUCGCUUCUUGAAGAUGUUGCGUUGUGCACUAGCUGGGUUGAAGUUACUCAUAAUUCAUUUACGGGUAAUGAGAUGCAAUUGCGAGAAAUGUGGAGUUUAAUUCAUACCAAAUUUCUUGAGCAAAUGAGUGGGAAAAGAACCAAAGAAUCGAUGUCCAGUCGUUGGAAAAUACUUAGCCAUUCCUUUAGUACGUGGAGAGAUGCUUUGCCACAAGCUAGUAGUAAUGUUCGAAGUGGGGAAAAUUAUGCGGAUGAGGUAAGAAACUAGAAAAACAUUUCACAUAAUUUUCUCUGUACUAUCUCAUAUUUUCCUAGUAUCCAAACACAUUGUACCGAUCUUUCGCCAAUUACGACUACAUAAACAAUGCACAUACAUACAAAUUAAAUCAAGAACAUUGAAGUUUAAAGCAAAAUAAAUAAAAACAUUAAAAAAUAAAUAAAAACCUUUUUCUUGGUGGAACCGCCAAUCGCAGCGCAAUUGGGAAAAUCUCUUUUUUUCCGAUUCUUCCUCAUCUGCCCAGAUGAAAAACCAAAGAACACUUCAAUCUAAUAAUCCCAAUUCAGAAAAACACAGAUAAAAUGCAAGAAUCGAAUCGAGAGAGUUUACCAGAAAUGCUCUGAUCAAACUCUGGAAUUGUCUGAAAACAACGCAUAGCACGGUGGUGGAGCUUAUAAAUCUUUAGAAACAGAGGAAAUUGUGGGUUCAAAGGAAGAGGUUCGCCGGCAGUGGGUUUUGACGCCAAAUUUGGUCCUCGAUGCGUGUGUAAGUGACACGUGUCCUAUUUAUUUUUUUUGUCUCGGCCCACUACCAUCGUCCUCGUGGAGCACACACUAAUUUUGAAACAAGCCGGAAAUAGAUCAUUUUCGGAUCUCUUCCACCAAAUCACACGGAUCAAGUGAUUUGAGUUUUUGCAAUUUGAUCCAACGGUUAAAAUUAUUAUAACUUUUAAAAGAAGUCUUUGUUUUUAGCGGUUUGAUCAAAUUUCAGGGGCUCAGAUCACUUUAUCCGUGGACUUUGGUGGAAGAGAUCCAGAGAGGAUCCCCUCUAAACCAAGACCACUUCGCUGUCGCGCCACCCAGGACACAUAACCAAUGAAACCCAAAUCAUCAAAACAUUAUCUAGGUAGUCUCCCAAUCCCACGGUCCAGAUUAAAUAUCAGAUGAGUGCGCACGGUAGACUCUGUUUGACUCAAUCAUUUUGUAGCCUUCCCUCAUCCGCUUCUCUCGGCACCGACGUUGACCCCAGUUUCGACGACCGGGAGUUCAUACUCAGCCAAGACUUCUUCUGGUAAAAUCCUACGCGUCAUCAAUUUUGUAAAUUUUCAAGCUUUUCGGGAUUCGAAUUCGAACAUGGAUGAAAAUUUGGAUUUUUGUUCUGGGUUUUGAUUGAUGUAGCACUCCUGAUUAUUUCACACUGGAUAAUCAGCAUAUGGUGAACGGCUGGGAUUGCAGCAAGGUACAAUGGAUGGAUUGGAUUUUACUAUUUGUGUAAAAUUGAGCAACAGAACUACGGAAGAAGCAAAAUUAUGUAUCUCAAUCUGCAGUGGCUUUACGCUGUCGUGUCAUGCCUCCUCCGUGCUUGAAUAAUCCUUAUUUGAAGGAUGCUUCAGAAAUUGGCAUUGAUCCUUUUGGCAACCAAAGAUCGAAGGGUAUGCUUGUGUUAGUUGCCAAUGAGACAUUAUUUCAAUAUUAAGACCAUGGUAGAACUCUUAAUGUUUGCCUCUUUACCUCCGCUUUAUCAAGCUUUGGAAUUUGAUCUUCUGCCUGCUAAAGAAUAUAUGUUAAAUACGGUACUGAUUGGAACUGGAAUAAGCCUAUAAGGAAAUGAGAACAGGGAGAUACCUCGCUAUCACUUGGUGAUCUAGGGCCUAAGUGCUCAGGGGAGCUUUCACUGUCAAUGGCUCUAUCUCCGAGUGAAGAUACUAUUUUCAUAGCAGGUUGUACCCUUUUACAUCUUUUUCUACGAUACUGAAACACAAACUAGAUUAAACAGAGAACAGAAAGAUGUAAAUGAGAUAAGGAAGGGAAAAACAUGUUCGAAGAGAGAACCAUUUUAGAAAUUGCUCUCAGCAUCGUUGUCUUAUCCUGAAGGCCAUAUAAAAGCUCUGCCAUUGACUGCUCAAUAGAUCCAUGCCCAAGUUCAUUAACUUCAAUAGGCACAAUCUCCAACUGAUUUUCCUCUUCUCCUUGAAUAUAGUGAAUAAACUCAGAAUCCAAAUAUUUUUCGGUUAUAGGCUUAAUUAUGUUCAACAUGUCAGACACUUGUUGAACCUUGAAGGACACGUCACUUUCGUUCUUAGAUACAUUAAUGCAAGAGGGUUAUUCUUUGCGAGUCAUGAAACGGAAGGAAAAUCUUGGCUUGCCUUUGCUUUUGAGUCAUACAACAAUUGAUUCUCGUGUUUAACAGAACACUACAGGUUGUGACAACGUACACUAUAUAAAUGAUCACCUUUACCUUUGGAAGAUUUAUUCACUUUCGAAUAAUUAGAUUUUGACGAUGAACACGACGUUUUUUCAUUCAACCGCAUGAGUGCCUCAGCUUCUUUACUCACUGCAGACCAAGUGUAUGAUUCGUCUUUUUUCUCACUUCCAAUGGAAUGAACGUCAUCCCUCUGCAACUUUUUAGCACCAAGUGUGACAGGAACUCUCGAGCGCAUGUUGUUCGAUGAUAGGAUUUUUAACGUCUAUGCAAAUAGGGUCAAAAUCACAUGAAAUACUUGCAAGAAUACAAGGAUGUUAUAGUAUAGAUGCUCAUGCAAUGUCGUUUUCCUCAAGGACUAUUUGGAUAAUUUAUGUAGAAACAAUUCCUAAUUAAAUACUUAGAAUUAAAACUUGAGAAAAGAGAGUUUGAGAGUAGGUAAUAUUAAAAACGAAUUUUAAACAAAAACUAAUAUAAUCGAAGAAAAGAGUUUUAAAUACCAAUUUAUAAAGACACUAGGGUUCCACCAUCACCUAGCAAUUCUAUGUAUUUUACCAAUUACCUAUGAUUUACACAUGCCACUUCGAAGGUUAGGUUUUCCUAAUAUAUAUUCUCCUCGUGAUAUUCAAGCAAGAACGUAUAUCUAACAUGCAAUUCGUCUGUGAUAUUCAGAUCAAAUAUGAACAUGCAAGACUCAUUAAGUUUCAUGAAAACCUUUGAAGAACCAUGCAACCCCUAAGAACGUGAUAUUCGCCUUAGAUGAAAUUACAAUUAUCAAUCACAAGAAGCAAUACUCAAUCAUCCGGUGAUAUUCCGACCGAAUUGCAUCCAAUUACUUGUCUAAACAUCCUAAUGGUGGCCAGUCAUCAAGAUAAUUAGAUAGUUUAAAACAGUGAUUAAUACUUCAAAGUGUGUAUGCAAUCAAUCAUAAGCAAUUAAAUAAAAAUUACAUAUUCAUGCUAAGGCCCAAGGCUUCGCCCUAGCAAAAGGAAUUAGUUAUGCAUAUUCAUAAUUGAAAUCAUAGAAAAUAUUAUUAAAAAUAAAAGGAAUGAAAACACCUUAAAGUAGAAAAUCUCCAAGAACCCUAGCCAAGUUCUUUGUCUCUGAAGUUGAAUAAUAAUAAGCGUCCCCAAAAACUGUAGACGGCCAAAGCCAUAUAUUUGCUCAGCCCUUACAAACCCUAAGACAUAGGUUUCUUAAUCCAACUAGGAAACUAAGAAAAAUAAUAAAAUCUCUUAAAAAAAUAAAACCCUAAUUAAACUAGGAGAAUCUGCCAAGUACUUGUCCAGCCACGUUUUAGCCUUAGAUCUCCUCCAAAUCCGGGCCAAGAUAGCUUGUUUUAAAGAUAAGGAUGUUCCGAACAUAUCUCCAGAAGGCCAUGAAACCAUCUGAGGUCAUCUUGGGCUCCAAAAACGCAAUUUAAACCCAGAAACGUCAUUUUUCAACACUGUGCAUUGCUCCUUUAUUUUAUCGCCAGAAAAUAACCGCUUGAUGGAAAAAUCCCAAUUUUUGAUACGAUCAAGCUAAGUGACUCACGAACGUCUUCCAACUGGAAUUACUCCAAUAUUCAUCCAUUUGACCACGUUUUUCUCUAGAGGAAGUUGAAAGUCCUAUAUUGAAAAUACAAUUCAAAGUAUCAAAAUUCUUCUAAAAUAUUAACCAAAAUAUACCAAGAAUAGGGUUAAAUAUAUAAUAUAAAAUUCACUUAUCAAAAUACCCCCAAACUUAGCUUUUUGCUUGUCCUCAAGCAAAAUAAAACUAGAAAACAAAAAAUAAAAACUAACAACUAGACACUUAACUAAAACUCAGCUAAAAAAAAUUCUCACUUUCAAGUUGCAAUCCAUAGAAACUGUUAAAAAUCAGAACAUUUUUUCAAAAGUUCCAACCAAUCCCACCACAGAGUCUAAACCAUUUAGAAUCAAUUAGAAAAGAAUUCACAAACUUCCUUUGGUGUAAAGUGAACCAACAUAGUUAAAGAGACUCGACCAAAACUCUUACCUCUCGUCCCUUUAUUCAUACUUCACACACUAACUUCACAUAUAUUUUUUUCUUUCUCUUCUUUUCUUUUCUGUUUUUUUUUUUUUUAGGAGUAACAGUAGUGGUCGUGCAAUGUCGGUUCCCUUAAGCUUUCUAUCCAACCCAUGUAGCGAGUUUUAGGUCAAUGACUCCCAAACCACUAGGGCUUUAGGGCACUAGGUGUAGAACACCCCUAAGGACUUAUUAACCCGAGCUGAAAAUGCUACGAAACCAACUAACCACCCUGCCUCAUGCCAAAACUCUACCGUUUGACGCGAGAAUCACUGCUGAUUAGGUAGGACUGGCCCGGUUACUAGGCAAAACCUCGGGUGAGACAAUUAUUACUUUAUAACACAUGCUAACUUUACUUUAUUUAGAACAAAAAUAAAAAUACACUUAGAUAAAAAGCAAGUGUUUCAAUCUCACUCCCCACAAACCACGUUGGUGUGAAUGUGCAAUUGUCAAAGUAUAAUUCGUGAAUUAGUGUCUAAGUAACGAUAAAUAGAAAAAACUCUACUGUGGGAUUAAUCUUUACCAUGUCCAUUUGUUCCAACGUUUAAAAUAAUCUAUGGAUAUUAGCUUAAAAACGAAAAAUUUUAACUGACACAAAAACAAAAAUCCUAAAUUUUUACUACUUUCCCACCUCCAAACUUAUUUCACAAUUGUCCUCCAGGUGUGGAAAAUAAAUAUAAACUAAAAAAAACGAAAAGCAAAACUAGAAAAGAGAAGACAAAUGUCUAGACCAAAGAACUAAAAGAAAAAGGGAAAUAUAAAUGAAACAAAGAAAUUAAAAAAAAUGAAAUACAUAAUAGAACAAAAAAAACAAAGGAAAAAAAAUCACCUGACAUAAGAAACAUUGGGCCGUGACAAAAUGAUGCACAUAGCCUCUUGAUGACCCUUUGGAUUAUAACCCAGCCCACAAACCAAAAAGCCGAAAAGAACAUUGGAUGCCUAUUUGAAAUUGGAAUGGCAUGCAGUUGGCAUGUGCAUUGGAAAAGUGGGAUUAUGCUAGUUCCCAUGUCUGAAGAAGAAAAGUCACGAGCAGUCCUCACAGUCAUUGUCAGUAAAUGAGCCUAAACGGCUCUUUUCUUUUUACCAAAUCGAGAGCCAAACGGCUCUGUAUUUCCCCAUUUCAAAACAACCCUCUCGGACAUAUACACAUAGCCACACGAUGAAAACACGUGUCAUACAUUCGUGUAAGGAACUCUUUAAAGCAACUCCACCCAUGGAGCCCUCCCCUGGCAAUCCACUAUUGAAUCCACCCUAUUGAACAGUAACUGCCUUUAAUGAAUAGUAACUGCCAUUAAGAGCAAAUCCACCGGAUUGGACUUUGCCUAGGACCCAGCACAAAAACAAGGCCAGCACCCUGUCAACCAAGUCCACCCCCUCAACUUGACUGGUACCCAGCCUGAGCUGGGCUCUGGACCAGCCCAAAAGAGACUUAGCAAGAAGCCGGGCUGUUGGCCUGGCGCGUGCGCUUCAUGAAGGCGUGGCGCGAGUGCCCGACAGGCUUUCAGAGCGCAGGCCCGCGUGACAGGCGCACUCAAUUCCCCCCUCGAGUUGGCGACAUGGCUCCUUUUCUGCCGUUGGAUUUCCAACAGCUAGUUUUCUAGACCGUUUGAUUUGCAACGGUAAAAAAAAUUAAAAUUUUUCUUUUAAAAUAGACCGUCAGAUCAAAGAUCAACGGUCCACGUUUUUUUUCACAAAAAGUAAAUAAAAAAAAGGCCCAAUGGUCAGAAAUAUGACCGUUGGCCACGUGGCAACUCCCUGGCUCUUGGAUUUGAAUAUUUUUCAAAUCCAACGAUCCAGAUUAAUUAACUAUAUUAAAAUUCAUUAAAAAAUAUUAAAAAAUAAAGAAAAAUUAUUAAAAAAUACAGAAAAUUUUGAAAAAUGUUAAUUUUUUUCCUAUAAAUAUCUAACCCUCAUCUUCCACCUUUACACCACAUUUCAAUAUUUUCUACACUUUCUAUACUAUCUACAUUUCAAUAUUUUCUACACUUUAAGAGAAAAAAAUGUCUUCGUAGAAGCUCAUUGAAGAUAUUACGUUGUGUGAAUGUUGGGUUCACACUACUCAUGACCCGAUUACGGGUAAUGAGAUGGAUAAGCGAGAAAUGUGGAGUAAAAUUACGAAAGCGUUUUGCAAUGUACAUGGACAAAACGCCAAAACUAGUCAAGGUCUUCAAGGUCGUUGGAAAAUGCGCUGGGUGUCCGGAGGUACUCAUUGGUGUAAAGGGCUUCAAUUGCAGAGCAAAACCGCAUCAGGGACUCCAGAACAUUUGUUUUUCCCAUCCUCGCGAUCUCAUCCACUUGAUCUGUAGAUGCUCCAUAUGCAAGCAUUCGCAAGGAUGUCGUAAUUUUUUGCUCGGGAAUAAGACCUAGAACAUGAAAAGCAUCCUCUUUUUGCACAAAGUAUGGAUCAUGGUUGCAAAUAUCACUCAUGAUUUUGUUGAACAAAUUUCGUUGCAAUCUAAAACGACGUCUGAAAAUAUGAUCAGGGAAUAUGCUACUGGGAAUAAAAUAAUCUUCCAAUAGAUUUUUACCUCGUUUUUCCCUUUUUCUAUCGAGGUUUGCAACACGUCUUGGUUUGGCUAUCUAACCCAUGGCUUCAAUGACACGGCGGGAAUGUGAGGCCUUCUGCCUUUUAUGGUGAUCAUCCUUAUCCUCCUCCAUGAAGAAAGCCUCAUCUCCACCUCCACCUUCCUCGAGAUUGGCCAAUUCUGCCUGUUGUGCCAACAACCUUUGUUGUUGCUCCUGCAACUGUUUAUACACCCUUCUUGAAGAAGACAUUGUCAUAAGAACUCAAGAUUUGAAAACGAUGAACAAGGAUUCUGAGCUAAAAAGAAAGAUUGAGCUUGGUGUGAGGAUAUGUAGGGAUGUAGGGUUUAUAUGGACAACAAAAGAAAGGAUGAGGUUCUGGACAAUGCCAUGUGGCACUACGUGAUUGGUUGAAAAUCUUAUCGAAAUCUUGGCUAAAUUAUUGUAAACCGGAAGUGACACGUGGCGUGUCGGGAUUGGUCGAAAAUAUUAUCGGAAAUCUAUCCACAAAAUAGUACGUUCGAAUAAUGACACGUGGCAUGACGGAUUGGUUGAAAAUCUUAUCGAAAUCUUGGCUAAAUUAUUGUAAAACGGAAGUGACACGUGGCGUGUCGGGAUUGGUUGAAAAUCUUAGCGGAAAUCUAUUCACAAAAUAGUACGUUCAGAUAAUGACACGUGGCGUGACGAGAUUGGUUAAAAAUCCUAUCCGAAAUUAAAACUAUUUUAUUUUUUUAUUCUUUUAGAAAAAAUUUUAAAAUAUUUUAAAUGGGCUGGGUGCCAGCGCAUUUUGUAGGGAUGGAGAUCGUUUGUGCCAGCGCAUUUUUUUACUAGGUGCCAGUGUAUUUUUUUAGGGGUGGAGAUGUCUUGGCUUAUUACUGUUCAUUGGAGUCUGUUACUGUUCACUUGAGUGGAUAAAUGCGGUGGGUGCUGGUUCAAAGUCCUUAGGGGUCGACUUACUCUAAUGAACAAUAAUUGCCAUUUGCAUCUCCACCCUUGGAGCCCUUCCCCCUAGCAAAAGGCAAUAAAAUAUUAGUUUUUUUUCUUUGUUUAAAUAAUACAAAAUAAAAUUAUUUGUAAUUUCGGAUAAGAUUUUUUAAAUCGUUCUCGUUGCACCACGUGUCAUUUUAUAAAAAAAACAAUUAUUUAGCGAUGGAUUUCGAUAAGAUUUUUAUCCAAUGUCAUCGUGCCACGUGUCAUUAUCUUUUGAGAAUCUUUGACAAUAGAUUUCGAUCAGAUUUUAACUCGUUCAAAAUUGCGCCACGUGGCAUUAUCCGAAAAGAUAAUUAUUGGAGAUCGAUUUCGAUAAGAUUUUUAUCCAAUACGAUCGUACCACGUGUCAUUAUCUUUUCAGAAUAUUUGAGGAUAGAUUUCGAUCAGAUUUUUAACGAAUGAUGGCAUGCCACGUGGCCUUAUCUACAAUCCAAUCAUUUCUGAAUCGUCCAUAUAAUCCACCAUUCAUCCUCACAAAUCUCACACCAAUUUUCUCAACAUCUCUAUCUCAUUAUUCAUAGUCUCUGCUUCUUCUUCACCAUCCAUCCUUACAAUGUCUUCUUCUUCAUCAAGGAUGAUGUGGGAAAUCGAUCAGCAAGAGGAAGAAUUGUUUAACCAAUCUGAAGGAAUGUUCAACCUUCAGAUAGCUAAAAAUGAGAUGGAAGAGGAUGAGGAGCGUAAAAUGAGAGAUGACGAAACAAGAAUGGCCAGAGCCUCACAUUCCCGUCGAGUCAUCCAGACUGUUACUCAGAUAUACAGGCUCAACCGUUCAAGAAACCUUGAUAGAAGCAGGCAACGAUGGGGUGAAGAGCUGUUGGACGAUUACUUUAUCCAUAACAGUGCAUUUCCUGAUACGUACUUCAGACGUCGUUUUAGAAUGGAACGACAUUUGUUCAACAGAAUCAUGACUGAUGUUUGCAACCAUGAUUCUUACUUUGUGCAAAAGAAGGAUGCUUGUGGUGUUAUGGGUCUCUUGCCUCAGCAAAAAAUCACUGCUGCGUUGCAGAUGCUUGCGUAUGGAGCAUCUGCAGACCAAGUGGAUGAGAUAACGAGGAUGGGGAAAUCAACCAUUCUUGAGACCCUGAUGAGGUUUUGCGGAGCAGUCGAAUCUUUAUACACCGCAGAGUACCUCCGAAAACCUUCUCACAUGGACUUGCAAAGGCUUCUGAAGAAAAGCGAGAUGCGAGGUUUUCCUAGGAUGAUAGGAAACAUCGAUUGUAUGCACUGGACGUGGAAAAAUUGUCCAAGUGCAUGGCAAGGCGCAUAUGGGGACAGGAAAAGAGCAAAAUCUAUCAUUUUGAAGGCAAUGGCAUCUUUUGAUACAUGGAUAUGGCACACCUUUUUCGGGGUUCCAGGGGCUCAAAAUGAUCUUAACAUCCUUGCCCAAUCCCCAGUGUUCAACGACGUCCUGCAAGGAUCAUCUUGUCUUGUUUUGCUAGGACCAUCUUAUCUUGAUCUCGCUUCUUUUACACGCCUCAUUCGCACCACAUCCGCUUUCUCCGACUGCCAAAAAUAUUUAGAAUUUGGAGACAUCCCUUCUAAAGGCGUGUUCAUAAUGUCACGAUCUCGUUGUGCAAUUCUUUCUUCUCUAAGCAACUCCAUUUCUUGCCUAAGUAGCUCUCUUUCCCUAUGUUCAGCUUGAAAUGCUUGUUGAAUAGCUGCAACUUUUGCCUCAUCUCUAGCCUUUUCAGCCUCAUAUUUCGCCAAUUCCUGCGCCAAUGUCAAUUCACCUUGACGAGUAAGUUCUUGCAUGUACUUUCCAUAAUCAUUCUUGGACGCACUCCCUUUUCUUUUUAAAGCCUUCUUACCUUGAGGCCUAAUUGGAUAACGGGUCAACCCCAACGCUUGUUCAGGAAUGGGCGUUUCAGGCACUUCUUCUCCAUCUUCUUCAUCAACCUGGGUGCCAUGAUCGGGUGUAGAGUGUGGAAGGGUGCUGUGUAGAGGGGUGAUGUUCAUGCAUACUUCUAGACCAACAGGCACAACUUUGAAUUUAGGACAAUCUUUAAUAAUAUUCCAACAUUCCCACCGGUGGAAUGAUUUGUUUCUUGAUUUGAUUUUGGCAGCAUACCAUGCUUGUGCUUGAAGUUGCUACAAAUAAAUAAUAAUGAAAUUAUUAGGUAACAAAUAAUAAUAAUGAAAUUAUUAGGUAAAUAAAUAAUACAGACAAAUAACAACAAUGAAAUUAUUAGGUAACAAAUAAAUAAUACAAACAAAUAAUAAUAAUGAAAUUAGGUCACAAAUAAAUAAUGCAAACAAAUAAUAAUAAUGAAAUUAGGUAACAAAUAAAUAAAACAAACCCUGCAAUGUGAGUUAGACCAAUUCGCCAAGGCAGUGUGCCAGCUUAUUUGCACCGCAUUCGAAUCCAAUCCUCUCUCUGCAGAUCAGAAUUGUUUAGAAUAGAAUAUUGUCCUAUAAAAAAGAAAAAUGAUUAUAGUUACUUUUAUUUUGCUUUUAUAGUAGAAACUUGUCUUGUUGACACAACGAAAAUUGUAAGAAAAUGGAUCACGAAUGGUCUCGCUUGAAAGAACUCUGGAAUUCCAGAAGUUGUGAGAGAAACUCUUGUUUCUAAAUUUUGUAUUGAUUCAAAAGCAGUUGUCUAUUACAAAGCAAAAGAACAUAUUAUAAAUACUUGUUUCAAUAAAAUGAAAAGACAAGCAACAAUAAAACCUCAUUGAUUAGGAAAUACCCUCUAAAUGACUCGGAACGUUUCUAAACUGUUCGCAUCAUCAAGCAAUUUCUUUAUUCCUACGUUAGUCUCUUCUCCUUGAAAAGAACUCGUCCCCAAGUGAUCAGGAUACAACGAAACAUCAACAAGAUGGAAAUGAUGCAGAUCAGCAACAUUGAAAGUGCGAGAAAUCACCAUUGAUGCCGGCAAAUCCACCACAUAGGCGUUGUCAUUGAUUUUGUGCACAAUCUUUGAGCGUCGAUGUUUAUCAGUAGCAGCCUCGUUUUUGGAAUUCGUUUGAGCAAGUUUCUCGGCAACUUCGUUCUUGGCUGCUUGAACUCUUUCAGCCAUAUGUUCAGCUACAACAUUCAUUCAUGGGCCACGAGGAAGCCUUAUAAGAUCCACCACAUGAUGGGGAUUUAAAGUAUAGACAAUCGAAAAUGGUGACUUGCCGGUUGAGGUAUGCACACCACUAUUGUAAGCAAAUUCGACUUGAGCAAGCACCAAAUCACAUUGCUUGGGUUUAUCUUCACAGACACAACGAAUCAUAUUACCCAACGUCCUAUUGGUCACUUUAGUUUGUCCAUCCGUUUGAGGUUGAGCAGUGCUACUCCGAUUCAAUGUUGUUUCAAAUAUCUUCCACAAAGUCAUCCAAAAGUAACUAAGAAACUUAGAAUCCUGAUCAGAAGUAAUGGACUGAGGAACCACAUAAAGGCGUACCACCUCUCAAAGAACAAGUGAGCAAUGUGAGAUACAUCAGAUGUCUUACGAUAAGCAGCAAAGUGUGUCAUUUUUAAGUACCGGUCAACCACCACAAAUACAAAAUCGACUCCACGCUGGGUUCGAGGUAGACCUAACACGAAAUCCAUAGAUAAAUCCAACCAAAUAUCAGUAGGGACAGGUAAGGGCAUGUACAAACCCGUGUUUUGGGACUAACCUUUAGAGGAUUGACAAACAAAGCCCUUGCUAACUAUGUUACCAACAUCAUUUUUGAGUUGUGGCCAGUAAUAUGGUUUUAUCACACCCAAGAUGACCGCUUAAACCACCAUCAUGCAGGUUUCUAAUGAGCUUCUCCCGCAAUGAACAACGUGGAAUGCACAAGUUAUGCCCCUUGAAAAGAAACACAUCGGUAAUUUGAAAGUUAGAAGGAGGAUGGGAGCGGAGACACUUUGCCCAUAUGUCUUUAAAGUCGUCAUCCCCCUCAUAAAGCUCAUUCAAGAAAUCAAAACCCACAACCUCCUGACUCAAAGUCACCAAUAAUUAGGCUCUCCUGCUCAACGAUCGGCUAUGCGAUUAAGCGUACUGGAUUAGUGCUUGAUGACAAAAGAAAAUUUUUGGAGAUAAGUCACCUAUCGCAUAUAUAUCAUGUCAACACUUUUCUGAUUAUUGACCCACUUCAGUUCUAGGGUCGGUUUAUAGGACAAAUUCAUUUUGAACAAGUUAAUGCUCCCAUUAGCGUAAAGCACGAAUGACAGCAUAAAACUCUUGAACAUAUGUACUCCAUUUUUGCCUCGCUUCGCUAAGCUUCUCGCUGAAAAAUGCAAAGGGUUGUUUUUCUUGAGAUAAAACAACUUCAAUACCCACUCCGCUUGCAUCGUAUUCAACUUCAAAAACCUUAUCAAAGUUAGGUAAGUUGAGGACAAAAGCAGAGCAUAGCUUUUGUUUAAUUAAAGCAAAGCUCAUGUCCUGUUUAUCACCCCAAAUAAAGUUACCAUUCUUCAAACAUUCUGUCAUUGGCGCCACAAUGGUGCUAAAGUUCCUUAUAAACCAUCAAUAAAACGUUGCAAGGCCAUGUAAGCUUCGCAAUUCAGAUGCAUUUUUGGGAGCUGGCCAAUCUCAAAUGGCUCUCACCUUCUCUUCGUCUACAUGGAUGCCAUCCGAACUUAUGACAUACCUAAGGGUAGUAGAUCGGUGAAGAAACUACACUUCUUGAAUUUAAUGUACAGUUCGUUUUCCUAAAAUAUGUGAAGUACUUGUCUCAAAUGCUCUAAAUGGUCUUGCUCAGAUUUGCUAUAAAUUAGUAAAUUAGUAUAUCAUCAAAGUAUACAACAACAAAUAAUCCGACAAAUGGACGAAGCACCUGGUUCAUUAGUCGUAUGAAUGUGCUAGGAGCAUUGAACAGACCGAACGACAUCACCAACCAUUCAUAUAAGCCAUCUUAACUCUUAAAUGUUGUCUUUCAUUCGUCUCCUGGACGGAUUCGAAUUUGAUGAUACCUGUUUCGUAAAUCGAUCUUAGAAAAUAUUAUGGAAUCGACUAAUUCGUCCAACAUGUCGUCUAAAUGGGGAAUGGGAAAACGAUAUUUGAUAGUGAUCUUGUUGAUAACUCAGCUAUGAACACACAUCCUUCAUGUCUUGUCUUGUCUUUCUUGGGCACAAGAAGAACCGACACUAUACAAAGGUUAAGGCUUUCACUAAUGAAGCAUUUUUUUAACAACUCAUCAAUUUUCUCCCGUAGAAUCUCAAUCUCUUUCGGACACAUCCUGUAGUGUGGCAGAUUUGGCAAGCUUGCCCUAGGAAUGAAGUCGAUUUGAUGUUGUAUAUUCCGCAUGAGAGGUAACUCAUUCAAAUAUCGUCACUCACCAAAUCCUCAAAGUCUCAUCGGAUUGCUUGAACCUUGUUCGAAAUCUGCAACUUUCGGUCUUGUGCCAUUAAGAGGCCUUUCAUGACCAAAGCACAAACUACCUUGGUGUCUUUUGCUUCGGAUGUAACAUCGUGCUCAGAUGUGAUCAAGGUGAGGAACUUAUUCGGGUUAUCAACUUUUAUGACAACAUUAGUUGAUGUUCCAUUAGGGAACAUGGUGAUGCGAUGUUAUUCCCAAGUGAACUUAUAGACAUUGCCGCGACCCUUGUGCAUGACAUAUCUAUCCUAUAGCCAUGGUCUACCAAGCAAUACAGGAGUCAUGUCCAUGUCAACUACAUCACACACAGCUUCCUCCUUGUAAAACUUCCCAAUUGAGAUGGGAACCUUACAAGUUUCAAUCACCUUUUCCGUCGAGCCCUUCUUAAUCCACCCUACCAAGUAUGGGUUCAAAUUUUUCUCAGUUUGAAGGUGAAAGUGCUCCACGACCUUUCUAGCAACGAAGUUUUCACAACUACCUCCGUCUGUUACCAACUGACAAACUUUGUCCCGAAUGCACUUAGAGCGAAAGAUUUGAUGAUGUUGAUUGUCAUCGCUGGGUUUGGAAUAAAUCACUCGCUGUAAAACUAACGCUAACUCAUCUCCUUCUUCCUCAGACACAUCCUCGUCACAUUCGUCCUCUACUUCUUCAUAUUCACCUCAUUUUACUAAAUUCACUAUCUUGCCAACCCAGCAGGUGCUUGUGGGGUACCCAUGGCUGCCACAUUUGUAACACAUGUUUCCGCGAGGCAUGGUAUACGGAUUAGCCUGCUUGCGGAAUUAGUUGUUUUGAAAACGAGUGGUGUUAUGAGGACUAUUUUUCACUCCUGGAUGAUCAACUUUAUUUUCAACCCUUUUUUCUGGACCCUUGGAAACCUGUUGCUACUGCACCAUUUCUUUAUUUCUUGGGAAAUUGCUUAAAGAUUAAAAUGACUCUCCCCACUGCUUUCUAAAAUCAUAGCUCUGGUUGCUGCGAUUUUUCUUUAGCAAUUAUGCGCUAAUAGCCAACUCUUCUGUUUGAGAGGGAGUUAACACGUUGUAACCCAAUUUUGUCCCAAAUGGAAGGUUUUAAUCCCAACAAAUACCGUACAGUUUGUUGUGCAAGGGACUCAGUAAGACGAUUUCUUGCAGCAAGGUUGAAAAACUCAUGCGAAUACUCCUGCACAAUUCGACUUCCUUGCACACAGUCGUGGUAUUUUUCAAACAACACUUGCUUGUAAUUCUAGGGAAGGGAACGUGCCCAAAGCAUGCUCUGCAUUUUACUUUAAGUUUGGACACGAUUCUUUCCUUGCCACACCCUGGACUCUUGCUACUCAUCUAACCAAACGGCAGCGCUUCCCUUUAGCCUUCAUGCCACAACUUUAACUUGUCUCGCUUCAGCUAUCUCCGCAUAUUCAAAGAACUUCUCGCACUCCACAAGCCAAUCUAAAAACUCUUCAAUCGAUAAGUUUCCAUUGAAAGUCGAAAUUUCGAUUUUUUUUUCUUCUCGUGGAUUUUCAGGGAUGGCAGGGAUAACGUCAUCUUCAGAAUUUGAAUCACCGUUGGGGAAAACUCUGAGUUGCUAAGGUGCUACAACCAGUUCGAGCAUAAACAACAUGUUGAGCGCGACCUACGGCCAGGCCUGCAAUCAUCUCUCUAAUUUCAGCGAGAGAAUUUUGCAUUGUAUGAUUGAUGCGACACUCCAUAGCCACAAGUUAUCAACUCACGUAUGUGAAACUUGUGAUAUUAGGGUUGGUUAUUGCUUCGUCUUCAGCCAUUAAAUCGGAAAACCGGGCUCGAUGCCAACUGACACAGCAGAAGUUGUAAGAAAAGGAUCACGAAAGGUCUUCCUUGAAAGAACUCUGGAAUUCCAUAAGUUGUGAGAGAAACUCUCGUUUCUGAAUUUUGUACUAAUUCAAAAGUUUUCUAUUACAAAGCAAACGAACAGAUUAUAAAUACUUGUUUCAAGAAAAUGAAAAGACAAGCAACAAUAAAUCUUCAUUGAUUAGGAAAGACCCUAUAAACGACUCUUAAUGUUUCUAAACUGUUCGCAUCAUCAAGCAGUUUCUUUAUUCCUACGUCAGUUGCAGGAAGAGAGGGUGUAUUAAUCAUAAUUCUAUUCCUAAACAUGAGGAAUUACCUAUUUUGUCACGUCUAGAAGUGCUGAAAGGUGCGUGUUUUUUCAAAAAUGGCUACUAGGCUUGAACUGGCAUAGGCUCUAUUGAGCAACAUAGUGAUGUUUGUUUAAUUCUUUCGGAUGCAUGUUCUAAUGCGUAUGCCUGCAGCUUGGCGGAUGAAGUGAGCUCUAACAAAGAGGUAGUAUGCAUUCAGAUAUAUAGAUAUCUUAUUUUUGGUGUUUUUGUGCUAAUGCAAGGAGUAAUGUGCUUGUUUGGCAGAAUGGAUCUCCUAGGUUCUUGAAUUUUCAGUGGUUGGCUGCAAGCAACGUGGAGAUAAGGCCAUGAACCGCGACAGAGUGAUGGAGAUAGAGAUUUGUUGUCUGGGUAAAUAAAUCUGGAUAUGACAUGUACGCUAGAGAUGAGAUGGCCUUCUUGUUGGGUCACAGUGGUGUGAAAGAAAUGAAUAAUCUGAAAGGCAGAGAGAAAGAAAGGGGAAAGUGAAGUGGAAUGGUUUAGAAUUUCACUUGUUUGAUAUUUCAUUCUAGCGCUAUAAUUUCCCACUAUGCAAUCUUUGUAAAAUAUCUAAAAAGUUUAUGUGACGUAAAUGUUGUUUGUCCUGUGUUUCAAGAAUACGUGAUGAGUCUACUCGCCACUAGCUUGUUUUUAAGUUAGAUAUCUAUCAGAGUAGAUAUGUGUGACACAAAUGAAUAAUUCCUCACGGAUUAUCAUAGUAUGUGACAAAUUUUUAAGCGUCACAAUCAAUUUUGUCACCUAAUCUCUGUUUUCUUGUAGUGAAGGUAUGGACCCAAAUAUAUAGAAAAUUCACUUUACGACAUAAAGCAAUGCCUCAAAAGAGAAGGAAAGUGUGUCGUGUAAAUUGUCAAGUACGACACACAACGCUUAAGCCGUAAAUAUUUUUAAUUAACAACUUGCACAGAAGUGAUACCGUGAAUGCUAGAUUAUGUGCAAGUAUUACGACAUGAACUUUACGAAUGUCGUGAAUAAUAUCAUUUAAGGCAUGCCAGUACUAUACGCCGCAUAUUUCAAGUCGUAAAAUACCCAAACUGUUGUAGUGAAUCAAUUAUCAUUCUCCAAAUCAAUUUCAAAGAAUAGAAAUAAUCAAAGUGGUUCCUCCUCCAUCUAUUAAAUCCUCCAUUGCUAAGUCCAUAUUUUCCCAAUUCAUGAGCCACCACGUUAUAUUUUCUUUUUAAAUCCUCCAUUACUAAGUCCAUCCAUGUCUUUAGGUGUAUAUAAAUAAUAUAAAGUAUAAAUAUACAUGUUCUCAAUCAAUAAUAUAACACAUGGAUUAAUAAUAUUAUUUGAACAAUCAUCGGGAUUCUAGUACAAUCAGUAAUAUAUUGCACUAGAAAGAGAACAUGUAAGAGGGUAGACCAUAAAAAGAAGGAAGAAAAACUUGUAGACAAAAUUCAUAGCAUGAACAACCAAUUGCUACUUUACGAAACAAACGUGUCAUAAUACAUUAGCAAUGGAGCAUUGCAUAUAAGCGUAUGUAUAUAUUACAAUUGCACUCUACCUCGUGGCCGGAAGAGCUCUCGGUCACCUGAUAACAUUUUUAAUUUGUAAGAACUCAAACCUAAUUCCAGAAUUCUUGAUUUAUUUAUUUAUUUGAUGUAGCUAGCUAGCUAGCUAGUAAUUAAUCACCUUAAAUAGCUUGUCUCAAGCAUGUACUAAAAUUUGUAUCCACUUUCUUUUGCUCUAAAGUUCAUAAGUCAUGCCCACUUUCAACAGCCGCUUGUGAGGAAUAUCAAACACUUUGUCACUCUGCCUCAAAUUUCUCUUCAAGAAAUUGUAAGCGUAAUCGAUCACAAUUCUUUUCGCUAUGCCAGCUCCUUUGGCAGCCGUCACUUCAUUUUCCCCAAUCAAAUGAACAACUCCCCGCCUCCAUGCUUUGUCUAUUGCCUCAAUCUCUCUGUCCAACAAAUCUUGUUGCUUAUCAUGAUCAUCAACUUGCUGCUUCAAAUCCUCCUUUCCUUUCUCUCCACCGUUAGCCAAAGUACUGUCUUCGAAUUCUUCCUCGAUCUCCAACUUGGUAUCCCCAUUAACGCUACUGUGCAUAAUAUUUGUUUGAGAUAUCCAAAAAUUAUCCUUUAUGAACUCUUUCAACUUCUCCACCAACAAUCCUUCGAAGGGUUCGUUCUCAUUGCGAACAUCGGUGUACCCAUAUCUAGCAACGCAUCGGAACACAUUCAGAUCCUUAGGCUCUACUUGCCGAAAAAGAAAGCGCUCUUCCAAUGGAACCUUGCUUAUAGGCAACGAUUUGAUUGAGACAAAAACAAGGACGGAGUGCAAUGCAGGCACAUUAGCAGCGUAAUGAUUGAAGAUUGGCGGAAUGCCUUGAACAAGUUCCGAAUAGAACAUGGCGAGGCCAGGCAUACGAGAAAAGUUUGCAUUAACAGCAAUUUCCUUGAGUCGUUCGGGAGAAAUUUUGUGUUCAAGCUCGUAAUAGUACUUUCUUCGAUGCACAUCAUUCCACACAAACAUUACAAACAUCAACAAUGUAGCAAACGCGAGGGGAAGAUAUCCGCCCUGAUCAAAUUUGUAGAGCACUGAACUUAGAUAUAGAAGCUCUACACUUCCAAUAACAAGAACAUAUGAGAUGACGAGGAAUAUGUUGGUCUUCCAUAUCAUGAUCAUGAUUAGCACUAGGAAGGAUGAUGUAAGCGUCAUUACAAACACCACUGCUAUACCUGUACAUAUAUAUACGUAUGACAAUUAGACAAAGUCAUUCAUUAUUAGUUUAAUGUGCACAUAAAUAUUUUCCUAUCAAACUGAAUGUGGAUCAUGCAUUAAUUCGAUUAUUUUUUUUAAUGUGAGACGGUGACUCAAUUUUUGGCAACAUAAGCAUUUGUUUGAUGAUAAAAUUAAGUUUGUAAAGAGAACAUUACCAUAUGCAUUGCCAAUCUUUGCAGUGCUUCGAAACCCUAAAGUGACUCCAACACAAGCUAACAUGAGAAGGUAGUUCACUUCCGGAAUAUAAACUUGUCCGGCAUACUUGGUUGAUGUGUGCACGAUUUUCACACGAGGGAAACAUCCUAAUGAUUGUGAUUGUUGGAUUAUAGAGAAAGUCCCUGAAAUCAUAGCUUGACUAGCUAUGAUCGAUGCCAUUACAGCCACUAUAAACACAGGCCAAUACAAAGGCUCUGCAUGCAUUCAGCACAAUUAGUACACAAUUAAAAAAUUAAGCAACCACCUAAGUUAGUUAUUAACUUAUUAUAUAUGGUUGUUAAUGUUGAGGUAUAUAUAUUUGAUACUUAGCUCGUAAAAGGUUAUAUUAAUAUUUUAUAUAUACUUACUUGGUAUUGACUUGUAGAAGGUAUCUGCAACAAGAAGAUGGUGCUUGCGAAGAAAAGAGGCUUGUCCAGUGUAUGCCAGUAUGAGAGCUGGAUAAGUAACUGUGCACAUACUUAUUUGAAUGGAUCGUACUGUGAAGUGUCCCACGUCAGCAAAUAAAGCUUCAGUUCCUGCAAAUGAAGAUUGAGACAUUAAACGGUUCAGAUUAUGAAAUUUGUAUGGUAAAGGUACAUUAUAUAUUAUCUAUUUAUGAAAGAAAUUAACACUUAACUAAUAAAUAGUUAGGGGUGUAGAUAGGAAUUUUAUAGAAUUUUAAAAGAAUUAUAAAUUCAUGGGGUUUUAAUGGACUUCUACAUAUUUCAUGUGAAUUCUCUUAAAAUCUAAAGUGGUGAGAGACUGGAUUUUUUAAAGGUCUAAAAUACAUUAUGGAAACCCUCUAAGCCCAUGAAAACACCUUUUAAAAAUUCUUUAAAAUCAAAUCAUGAUACUUCUAUAAAAAAAUUCAAAAUCUUGAUUACACCAGGAUUUAAUCUAUGAAGUACGAACUUGUAAAACCUCUUUAAAAAUGCUAAUUGAAUAACGUUAGAAGUUUUAUAAAUUCAUUUAAAAUCCUGAAUGAAUAUCAUUGAAUUUUUUAACUCUUUCCAAAUCCUUUAUAUGCUUCUAUUUAGAAAUUAAAAUUUUAUGCUAUUUUGCAUGAAAUUAAUUGUAAACCUGUUAUGGCUAAGACAAUGCCACCAAGAGAAAUCCAAGCGUCUUUUUUGUUCCUCCUGAAGUAAUCUACAAUGUAUUGUGGAUUUAGAGCCUUGACCACCGUCGGAUCAAACUUGAUGAAGUUGUAGACGCCAAUUCCACCAAUCAUGGUAAACCAAAUGCAAAUAAUUGGUGCAAAACUGUAGCCUACUUUAUCAGUUCCAAAUCUUUGAAUCAUGAAUAGGGCAAUCAAGAUGACUACUGAUAUCAAAACAACCCGACCUGUGCACACAGAUUAAAUUAAAAAUAUUUAGCCAAAAAUAUUUAAAUUUAAAUUACUUUUCACUAUCCGUUUUAUAGAAUGAGGAUCCUUUCCGGAUCAUUUUUGUGAGGAUCUCAAUGAUCUUUUAAUUUUGUCCAUUCAUCGUUUUUGUGAUCAAUUUUAAAUAAAUAAAUUUAAAAUAUUUUUUUACCACUCAUUGUACGAUAAAUCUAAGUAUCCGGAGAGGAUCUUCAUUCUGUUUUAUAUACCACACACAAAUAAUAUCUGUAUGAAUACCUUCUGUCAUUGCAGAUGUGGCUUCUUUUAUUCCUCCAACAGCCGACAGAACUGCCAUCAAAUUGGAACAAAAACAAUUUUAAUAUUCAAGUCAAAAGAAAUUAAGCACGUAAUCAUGUGAGAGUAGGAGACGCAACUUUGAUUUUGUCUUAUAUUGCAAAAUUACUCAACUUUCCAAUACUUCCCGUGGUAGUUUUACGCAUGUGCAAUAAGUGUCUUUGCACAUGACCUUCAAUCCUCAAGGGCUUCUUAAAGAUGAUAUCUUGUACAUUGUAUUGAUUUGGUUUGUUGACAAAAAGACUUCAUUUUUGGGAAAUUUUCUAGGUUCUGCUUUUUAUUUUAACUUAUGCUUGUGAAUAAGAUAAUAUGGACUUCAUACGCAUGAGAGGAAUCACUUUUAUUUUUUAGUUUAGUUUUGUCGGUUUUGUUCUAAAUUUUAUUUUUAUUUAUUAUUUCAUGAUUUAUUUGAGUUAUAAAGCAAGUAAUAUAACUCUAUUUAGAGCCCUUAUUAAUACAACUAUAUACAUAUAAAUUAGCUGUGUAGCAAGAGUUUUGUACAACCGCCCAUUUACUAUCUUUUGUAAAAGGCCCCUAAAAUCUGAUAGUCAAUCAUGUACUUGUCCAGUUAGUCAGUUACACUAAUGCACAUGCAAGUUGAGAGAUUCUUGUUAAACUUUAGAGACGGUUUUAGAAUCGAUAUUGUUUAUGACUUAAUCAUCUGUUUAAUAAGUUUUAUAUUAAAAGUCUCAAUACAAUUAAUAGUGAAACUAUUCAAUAUAUAAAGAAUUUAACUUCAUUAAAUUUUCGAACCGAGACAUACUUAAAAAAUUCCUACAUAUAAUCAGAAAUAUAUUCCUUUCAUCAUGCAACCAUGUCAAAUGAGGAGAUAUAUGGAUCAAUACUUUUUUUGUUCUUGUAUUAAAGAUUUGACAAACCUGACAUGCAAGGAGUGAGGACACCAUCACCAAUGACCAUUGAAGUACCAAGCAUGGUGGCGAAUAGUAGAAAGACUUUGGCAAAUGGGCUGUUCUCCAAUGAAGAUUUAAGCCUUGAUGCCCUCUUUACACUUUUGGUAGGCAAGUCAAGCUGAAAAUUUGAAACAUCACGAUCCUCUGCUUGUUGGCUCGGAGUCAAACCAACCUUGGCAUAUCGACACAGCAAAGAGUAUAGUGCGAACGUCCCUCCUGCAAAAAAUAAUAUUAUUUGAAUAAUAGAGGAUUCAAACUAAAAUAUGAUUAAAAAAUCAAAUAAAGUUUUCAUGAAUAAAAGAGGAUUCAAACUUUAGUGAAAAAAUAAAAUGUUUUCUCUAUGCAAUUUGACUAAACUUCUACUUGCUUACGAGUUUUCCCUUGUAAAUGUCUUCUUUUAGAUAUUUAAAGGAAUACUAUAAUUUUUUUUAAUAAAAAAGACCAUGAUUGAAUUGGCAAUUUAGAAAAACCUAUCAUUAUGCGUGUUAAAAAUUAAUAAUUUUGUUAGACUACACUACAUAAGCUUCUCCCUGGUUCGUACCUCAAAGUCGUAUUAAAAUCAAACUAGAUAUCUUUUUUUUCUUUCUUUUGGUCCUUUUACAUGUCAGAAAAAUGACACAGCGAAACAUCAAAGGUUAAGAAGUUUGACAAAUUAACCUUGGCAAUCAAAAUUUUCAAACUAACAAGGUAUGAGUCUAAAGUAUAUGCUGAUGGAGAAGUUUUGCAGUUUGUCCGGAACAAGUGAUGGUACACCACAUAUCAUUAUAUAAGUGGAGAGAUUUUAUUUUUUAAAUAUUCCUCCACUUGUAUGAUUACAUCUAAUGUACCAUUCUUUGUUCCUAAAAAACUAAAAAAUCUCUCAAGCUGAUGAGACACCGAAAGCUAAAGGACCCUUUUUAUAUUUAUUUAGUUUCUAUGAAGAGUUGAGAACAUCGAGUGCAAGAAUAUAUAGUUAAAUACAAAGGAUUUAAUAAGUGAUAUUGUUUUGUCUGUAAUUAUACAGAUCUAGGAGAUGUAAGGAAUCUUACCAUCGCCGUUAUCAUUGGCCCGUAAGACGAUUAAAACGUACUUAAUCAAAGGGAUUAAGGUGAGUGUGUAAAUGAUCAAAGAAAGAACACCCAAAAUGUCAUCGCCAUGGUUGAUGCCUUUGGUGAAGGUGCUCGCAUACACAUAGAGAGGUGAUGUACCAAUGUCCCCAUAAACUAUUCCAAUGCUCUGAAAUGCCAAGUGCAUUAUCACCGACCAGUCCGCACCCUAAAAAAGUUCCAAAAGAAAAUAAAUUUAGAAUAAGUUCAACAACAACAACAACGAAACUCUAUUCCAUUAAGUGGAUUGGCUUUAUGAAUUUUAUAACGCCGCUGCGCUCAGUUUUGCGCUAAGUCUUCCAUUAGUUUUAAGUACUCCAUAUCUUUUCUUAAGAUCUCUUUCAAAAUCUUUCUGUCUCUUCAUCUAUCAAUUUUGCCCUGAACUUCCGUCUAAUAGUCACAUCUUCUAGUCAGAGCAUUUAUAGGUCUUUAGUUCACGUGUCCAAACCACUUUAACCAAUUUUCUCUCAUCUUAUUUCCAAUUGCGACCACUCUUACUUUACCUCAAACAUCCUCGUUCUUACUCUUAUCUUUUCUUGUGUGCGCACACCUCCAACGAAGCAUUCUCAUCUCUGCUACACUCAUUUUUUGCAUGUGUUGAUUUUUGAUCUCCCAACAUUCCGUGCCAUAAAGCAUUGAUGGAAUUAUUGUCGUCCUAUAAAAUUUUCCCUUAAGUUUUAGUGGCAUACAAUAUCACACGACACACUCGAUGCACUCGUCCACUUUAUCCUCUAGCUUGUAUUCUAUAAUUGAGUUCUCUAUCUAAUUCUCAAUAAAAUCAUGUUUUGUUUUUCUUUUAGAAAAUUAUUCUGUUGUGAAAAAAAAAAAAAAAAAAAAAAAACUACUUUGUCUUCUUUCUUAACUAUUCAACAACUGUUGGUCAUUUUUUUUGGUUCCAAACAACUUGAGGAUUAAAUUCGAAACCUCUUCAAUUGAAAUGAAGAUUAGAUGCCGCUGAUCAAAUGACUUUAAAAAAAAAAAUUAAUACACCACAUAUGUAUAAUAUCAAUAAAAUAUAAUUGAAAUAGUAUUAUACUAUUAAAGAACAUAAGAAAAAUGGAGAUGGACCUUGGAGGCAUGGCCGUGGGGAGCUGUGAAAUGGCGUGACUCGAGGUCCAAGGAGUCGUAUCUUCGCAACUUUUGCCAUGAAAGUCUCUUCCCUUUGAGUUGAUCCUUAUGAUGAUCGUGACGAUCAGAAACUUCCUGAUGAUCUUGGCUUCCCUCAAUAUCUGUAGGGUUUUCCACUACUACCUCUUCGUCAGGCAUUUCUAUUAAACCUAGGUAGCCACUUCUCACACACUCAAAUUAAUUUCUAGAGAGAGAGAGAGAGAGAGAGAGAACUGCAGGUAGGUCUUCCUCUUUGAGAGCAAAAGCAAGCUAGCUAG
rnacentral:lncRNA from 1 species